rnacentral:lncRNA from 1 species
CCGGAGGUGGUGGGGGUGGAGACUUGUACUUGUAAGGGUGCUUGGGUGGGGAUAGAGGUGGUGGUGGGGGAGACUUGUACUUGUAGGGAUGCUUGGGUGGUGAUGGUGGUGGUGGUGGUGGAGACUUGUACUUGUAAGGAUGCUUUGGAGGUGAUGGUGGUGGUGGUGGAGACUUGUACUUAUAAGGAUGCUUUGGGGGUGAUGGUGGUGGAGGUGGGGACUUGUACUUGUAAGGGUGCUUGGGUGGUGAUGGUGGUGGAGGUGGUGGGGACUUGUACUUGUAAGGGUGCUUGGGUGGUGAUGGCGGUGGAGGUGGUGGAGACUUAUACUUGUAAACUGGAGAUGGUGGGGGUGGAGACUUGUACUUGUAAGGGUGCUUGGGUGGUGAUGGUGGGGGUGGGGGUGGGGGUGGGGACUUGUACUUGUAGGGGUGUUUGGGUGGUGAUGGUGGUGGUGGUGGUGGGGACUUGUACUUGUAAGGAUGCUUGGGUGGUGAUGGUGUUGGAGGUGGAGGAGACUUGUACUUGUAAGGAUGCUUGGGUGGUGAUGGAGGAGGUGGUGGGGACUUAUACUUGUAAACAGGAGUUGGUGGGGGAGGAGAUUUGUACUUGUAAGGCUUCUUGUGUGGUGGUGGUGGUGGUGGAGAGUAGACCGGAGGAGGCGGUGGUGGAGACUUGUAAUGGUAAGGUGGUGGUGGGUACUUCUUAGGAGGUGGUGGAGGAGAAGAAUAAGUGUAAUCUGCUGAGGUUUCAAAAGGCAAAUUGAGAGACACUGCUAAAACUAAAAGAGUGAGAAAGAGAGAGGUCAUUGAUGACCCCAUUUUCCCCAUACUUCUAAAAAUGGGUUUAAUUUGGUUAUGCUCUUAGCAACCCUCUUCACUCCCUUUAUAUAGACUUUUUUUUUAACCUUAUAAUCAUGAUAAAAGUUUGAAGAUGGACCGAACCUUCAGCAGCAUGUAAAAAAGACAUUACGUUUAGGUUAUUAGCAUGGUAUGAUAUAAUAAUUCUCUAUUCUCUUCCUUGUCGUUUCCCAUAAAUUCAAUUUUCUCUAUUAAAUAUUUAUCAAAUUCAUUUCUCACUCCCUAUUAAUUCUUUAAUAAGUUUAUAGAAUAUGAAUAAUUAAUCAUUAAACUCGAUUUAAUAAAUACUUUAAACAAUUAAUAAUUUAUCUUAUUUUAUGCUUUAAUUAAGGCAUCAAAUCAUAAUCCUAUUUUAUAUUUUGAAAAUUUAUCAUUUUUUAAAGAACUUAAUUGAUUAAAAUGUGAUUCUAAUAUUUGGCAGGAAAAAUUAGUUUACUUUCCUUAGAAUGUAAUAUUCUUUUGAGAGUUAUUUUCUUACUAAUAAUAGAAAGUGAUAAUUCGUGAGAAAAUUACUUUCACAUGUAAAUAAAAAUUAUUAGAACAAAAAAUUAACUUUCUUUUAUUUAUGUUUAGGUACUAAUUAACUUAUUGAGAUAAAGAUAGUUGUAGCUUGCUUUUUCAUGUCAUUUUCUUAUCUUUACAACUUCAAACCAUUAUUCUAGAGUAAGUUUUUUUUUUUUUUUCUAAAUAGUAGAUAAAUAUCUAUAUUUUAUUUUGCUAUAAGAAAAUUAUAUUUUUUAGCAUACAAAACUUAAAGACAACUUGUAGAAUCAAGUAAUUCUAUGAAAAGCAAGCCUAUUCACAUAUAAUACCUAUUACUCUAGCAAUAAUAAUAUUGACAUUGUCUAAAUUUUCUAAUAAAAAAAUUAUAUAAUUUGUAUGUGUUAAAAAUGAAAAAUAUGGCGGUUAUUAAAAAAGAUUUCAUACAUCUAAAUGAAACUACUAAUUUAAAAAUUAGUAUUGAGAUAAUUUCAAGUUAAUAUUGAAUAUACUUGAAUUUGUACAUACAAAGUAAUGAGGGUAAAAAUUUUGUAAAUUGUACAUCUUCACAAUCUUGAGUUAAUAUACAAUUUUUUAAUGUAUUAAUAUAAUGUUUUAGAUCAAGAUGUGAAAAAACAUAACUCAAAUAUUUGUUAAUAAUAAAAAAUUAUUAAUAAAUAUUUAAUUCAAAAUUUAUUAAUAAUAAAAAUUAUUGAAAAAUAUUAAAUACGUUAAUAUUAUUUUUAUAUAAUAAUGAUAAUUUUGUACAGUAAUCUUAUAUUCUCAAUAAGUGUUAAAUGUCUCAAGAUUUUAAUUAAUACUUUUCAGUGGUUACCAAACAUUGUGAAAUAACUUCUUGAACAAUGAUAUUCUUAUCAAUCACAUUCCAUUAGAAAUUUAACAUAGGAAAGCACCAAAACAACCGCUUAAAAAUGAAUGUGCAUGAUUAAAAUCGCGAUAAGUCUUGUUUAUCUAAAAUUUAAAUAUUCAUUUUAUUAUUUAAAAUAUAUUAAUUUUCCAAAAACAAUCAUUAAUAUUUAUAUUUCUAAUUUUAAACAUUCUUUUGUUAAUUAAAUGAUAGUGUAAACGGUUAAACUCAAAUCGAAAGCAUUUUAUCUUAUAGUAGAUUAUAUGACUCAUAUUAUGGUUGAAAGUAAAAUGUAUAAAAUCAAUACAAACAUCAAAUAUUAAACUUGCACUCAAUAGAUUUUAAAAUUUCUAAUUUUACCACUAAUCUAUUUUAAGAUUUUUAAAAAAUCGUACUUUAGAUUAUCUAAUUUAAAUUUUAAAAUUAUUAAAAAUAAAAAAAUUCUUAAUAAAAAAAUUUGUUUCAAAUUUUUAACCUUUUAAUAUAAUUGUUUUAACUGGUUAUCUAAACUAAAUAAAAACUUAUUUAGUAUAAAAAAAAGUGGUAAAUGUGAAAGGAGCACAAAUCACAACUACAAUAUGCUACAUUAGUUUUAUAAUUGGAUUAAUUUAAUCACCGGCAGAGGAAAUGUGUUAGUUCUAGCUACCACCAAUUUAUUUUAAUUCCUUUAAAAAUAUUAGAAAAAAUCAAUUUGAUUUUUAAUAAUAGAUCUAAUUACUUAAAGGAACAUCGGUGAUGUCCACAUGGCAUACAAGGUUAAGCAUAUAAAAAAAGAACAAAAAGAUUAAGUAUCUUUGCAAGAUAGCUUUCUGAAAUAAAUAAAACUUAAAUAAAAACAAUUUUAUUAUCAAAAUAAAAAGAAAAAAGAAAAGAAAUACUAGUGUUUUUAAUUAAAAUAGAGUGAUCUGGGUAGAAUCUUUUACUUAAAUACUGACAUUGACUUUAUAAGCUAUUUUUUAUCAAAAGAAGAAAGAGAAAAGCAUCCGAUUGAAGAUGUGAAUUAUUAAAUUAAAAUUAAUCAUACAUGUAAAAUUUUAUUGUGCUUUUUUCUAGCCCUCCGAAUGACAUUAUGCUUUGAUUACAACAUUCUUGCUCAGAGAUCGGGUUUGAAGAUGAACUCGGAUGCAUUUAGAUUUUUACAAGUAAAUUAAAGGAUGUUAGAACUUGUAUUCCGAUAAACUUAUAAUACAGAAAGCAAGUAAUAUGUGACUGUACAUAAUGGCUAUGAGGCGAGGAUAUGAUAUGAGAAGAUAGAGAUGAGAGAUUGCACUUAAGGGGUUAACACCACUUUCCUUUUUGUGUUUGGUCCCCAAAGCAUCUCUUAUUGGCUGAUGUUGCAAGGCCGUCCCAUAAGUUGGUCUAAAAGUGCUUGAUAGCUAGAAUUAAUAUUGUGGUAUAACAUAUGUCACCACUAGGUUUGAAUAAGGUUACACAGUGAUUUGAUGAAGAUUUAAAAAAGCAUAGAGAUAAUUAUGUUGCAAAUAUUGUAAAAGUAAGAGCUAAAUUGUUUGGCUUUAUUAGAGUUUAGACUCUGUUAGUCUAUUACCAUUCUCUAUUAGUCUGUUACCAUUUUGUUAUAUAGGCUGUAAUAUUGUUAGAAAGCAGUUAGCAGCUGUUAGUCAUAGUAGUUAGUCAUACAAAUAUAAAUUCUAUUCAUGUAUUGUUCAAAGGUAAGCUAAUAAUAUCAGAAGCGAUUUAAUGUAUUCAUUCUACUUUUUUUUUAUUCUUCAUAAUACAGUUGUUAACAUGGUAUCAGUACCCUAAUUUCUUAGAGGUCGCUUCUAUUGUAGAUCCAUGGCCAAUUCCACUGAUUCUACCUCCACUGGUCGUAGCAGUCCCUCGUUCUCGAUUCAUGUUUGGUUCAAUCGUUUCCUCGUCGUCACACUGAGAAGUUAGAUGAAAGAAAUGUUAUGCAAUGCCAACAGCAUAUCCUAUUGAUAAUUGAAGGGUAUGAACUCAUAAGAUUUUUAGAAGGGACGUUACCUACUCCGCCUCGCUUUGUGUCAUCUCCCGAUGGAACCUUGGCUUCGGCUCCCGAUGCAUUCCUGUUUGUUCAGCAAGAUAAGUUACUCGCUCUUUGGUUGCUUUCUACGAUUAGUGCUCCUUUGUUGUCCUCUUUUAUAGCUGCUAAGACACCGUGUGAGGUUUGGAGCACUGUGAAUCACCUCUUUACUGUUUCCACCAGAGCGAAGUUAUCGCGUAUUAAGCAUGAACUCCACUCCAUCAAGAAAGGCAUGAUGACUGUCAAAGAGUAUAUUAUUAAGAUUCAAAAUACCUGCACCUUACUCGAGGCAUCUGGAUUGGUGGUUUCGAAGGCCGAGAAGGUAGAGAUCAUUCUUGCUGGCCUAUCGUCAGAUUAUGAUGUCGUUUUAACACUACCAUAGUUCUCUUCUGAAACUCUUCCGUUACAGAAGAUAGUUGUUGUGCUACUGAAGUUCGAAAGCCGUCAGACUCAUGUCGUGAAUGACAUACCUUUUCAUGCUCAUCUGGUAGAGGCCACUUCGGCGACAUCGGUGGAGGACUCCGUACAUGGUAGCCAUCCUCCUCCUGGUGCUCGUGGGCAUGACUUUCGACUCGGCUUCAGUUCCAGAUCUAUGGUUGCUAUGGACAUCUGGCACAACGCUGUUAUUAUCAUUUCAACCGCGAAUACAGUGGUCUAUCUGCUCUGACCAUGGCGCAGGCUUCGCUUUUGUGCUGGGCACUAUUCGUGUGACAAUGUUUUUGGUGCAACUGGUCUCUUGACCGGCUGGUUUCCAUCAGCUCAUCCUAGUUCAAACCCCUUCGAUGUGCCUGGACAGUGUGCCGAUUCUUCGGUGACGGUACCGGCGCAUUUCCCUUAUGGCUCCUCUUGGGGAGGAUGGCCACAUUUGUAAAACAAUGCCUCCCUUGUGCCAAGUCUACCGAAUGUUAGGGUUUCUAACCUUUUUGCUCCUAAUUUUAACAAUGAGGCAAGCUAAGUGUUUGGGCCCGCUGUUGAACCAGGCUCAAAUAGUGACCAAUCUGGUGGUCCUCACUUGCCGCUGAAGAUGGGCUAACGCAUUGGGCCAUUCGCUGGUGUUCCUAGGCCAACUGCUUCAGGCCAAGAUUUUGGCCUAAAUGGAAUUGGUAGGCCAGCCAGUGCUCGUCCUAGCAUUGGAUAGGGUUCACUUGGGUCAAAUGUCAAUUUUAUUGGACUUGAGGGUUCUUUUGGGUAUAGACAAGAGUUUGGGCCCACCACUGGCAAUGUUUCAGUGCCAAUUAAUAGAUCAUGUGUUCCAUGGCACACAAAAUCGAGGGCACGCGUUAUUGAUUUUGAUUCUUCGCUGUGCGUUGGGUUGCAUCGCUUUACUAAUUUUCACGCAUCCGAUUUUUUUACUACCACUGGGUCUAAUGCCAAUACAACUCCAUAUAGGUCUAAUUUUGAUAAUGGUAAUUCUUACAUUCCUAUGCCUAUAGGGACCUCAUCAUGGUGUCUUGAUUUAGGGGCUACGCAUCAUGUCUGUUGAGAAGUCUCUGCCUUGAAUAAGUCUACGCCAUACUCAAGUACAUCUCCUUUCUUCACGGAUGAUGGUAUUCCUACAAAAAUAUCGUAUGUUCGGAAUCUUAUCUUGUCUAUGAAAACCAAAUUGCUUCAUUUGUCUAAUGUUUUGUGUGUGCCAAAUAUACGGAAGAAUUUGCUAUUUGUUUCUCAGUUUGCUAAUGACAAUAACGUGUUCUUUAAAUAUCACCUGUCUUAUUGUGUUAUUAAAGACAUCCAGACUCAUGAAAUUUUACUACGGGGCUACACUCGUGAUGGGCUCUAUUAUUUUUCGUCGGUUACUCUUGCUCUGUUUGUCGUUGUUCCUUUUUUCAUAGCACUGGGAUCUAGAGUCGCAAUGCAUAUGAUGAUUGUUUUGCAUUAUGGCAUCACAGGCAUAGUCAUUUGUCUGCCUCGAUUGUUAAACUUGUUCUCGAUAAGUGUCAAGUUGUUUCAAAAUAAAAUGUGCCUUGAAAAUAUUUGUAUUGCAUGUCAAAACGGGAAGUCUCACAAACUGCCUUUUUCAAGUUCUACUACUGAAUAUACAAAUUUGUUUGAUUUGGUUGUCUCUAACUUAUGGGGACCAACGUCUGUUGUCUGUAGAAAUAAUUUAUAUUAUGUUUUGUUUAUCGAGAUGUGUAGUUGAUAAACCGUAAUUUAUACAUAUUUUUAUCCUAUGUUUGGCACAUUUAUAGAUGAUUUAUCCUUAGAUUUGGUGAAUUCGAUGCUCCUAAUCCUUUAAUUUCAUAUUUUAUACUUAGGAGAGCAUAGGAGGGCAAAAAGAGCGAGAAACGGGCCGAAAACGGAAAAAAUAGACCCACAUGGGAAAUCAACAUGGCCUGGACUUCCUCACACUGGUAAGCCACACGGCCGUGUCCAUUUGGCAGGAUCGAAGCAAGACUUACACGAGUAGACUACACGCCCGUGCCUUUUUAAUAGCCUUGACCACUGUCUGGAGCAAUCGCGCACGGGCAUGUCCCUGUCGAGCCCAAGUAUAGUCUUAUUCGGAAAAGGUCUAUUUUAAGGGCUCUUAGGCAUUCUAAAGCUUAUUUAAUCACCUGAGAAGGCACUUAAAAGGGGGGACACGGAGUAGGAAGCAAGGAAUUACUCGAAGAAAGCCGAUUGAUCCAUCUCAGAAGCCUGAUUAUUCAUCAAGACUGAAAAUCUCCCUUCAAUUACCAUUCAGGAGUUUUGGGUUUUCUUUAUGUUUUGUAUUCAUUAUUCUUCUGAGAUGUUUUCUUUUAUAAUUAUGAUUUAAACCCUCUAAAUACCUAAGGGGAAUGAAACCUAAACGGAUCUUGUUAUUAUUAUCUGAAUUAUAUGAUAAAUAUUUGACUUGUUUUUAAUUAUAUGUUCUUAAUUCUUGUCUUAAUAUUCCAGGAUAUUGAUUCAAGUUAAUGCGCUUAUUCAGAGGAGCAAAAGUCCCUGUCUAAGAGUAAAUUUGUCAUAAUUAAACAGAGUUGAUUGCACACCUAAAGAUAGGGUAACAAGAUUUUGCCGAAUUAGGGUGAAACCUAAUAAGGAGAUCCAUAGAUCGAGUUAAUGCAACACUAGGGCGUUAAAUAGAAAGAGAUUUCAAUUAAUCAACCUAGGGUUAGAUGUUAUUAGUCUUGAGAGAGAUAAUAAUAUAACUUAGGGAUUUGUACGGAUCAUGUCAAAUGGAUAAAUCGACUGAUUCAGAGUCAAAUAACAAGUGAAGUCUAGGUGGAUUUUUCCUUGGGUAUUGUCCUAAUCAAGCGAAUUUUCUAAAAGUAUUUUCCCCAAUUUUUCAAGCGAAUUUUCUAAAAGUAUUUUCCCCAAUUUUCUUUCUCUGCACCCUUAGUUUAGUUAAUUAGUUUUAAUAAACAAAUCCUUUAAUUUUUAGGUUAGAUAAUAAAAAGAAAGUGAUUACUAGUACUCUUGGUUCCUUUGGGUUCGACAAUUCGGUCUUGCUAAAGCUAUAUUACUGUUCGAUAGGUACACUUGUCUUUAUCGUGAUAAUAGUUGGUUUCAAUAACGAUCAUUUCUAAAUUAUUUAAAACUUAUCGCAAGUAUCAUGAAUCAAGUUUUUGGCGCCGUUUCCGGGGAACUAAGAUAUUAGGAACACUUGAUUUUUAUUACUUUAGCCAUUUUUCUUUAUUUUUACUUUAAAUUUUUAUUUUCUUUUCUAAUUUUUCUUUUAUUUGUUCCUGACAGGUUUUUAUAGUUUAUGAUUAGAAGAAACCCGUCGGGACCAUUACUGUUUGAUAGUGAGAUCGAUCGCACAGUUCACAGAAACCAAAGAAAAAUAAGACGAAGCUUAAGAUACAAAAAGGAAGAGUAAGACGACGAUACUUCAACCACAAUCGAGAAGAUGGCUGAAAACCAGGAAAAUUUGCUACCUCCUGUGAUUUCUGCUGAUCCAGUAAAUCAGAAUCCUACUCCACGCACUAAGUAUGAUUAUGCUAAACCUACUUUAACAGGAACUGAGUCAAGUAUAGUUAGGCCUGCUAUUGCUGCGAAUAAUUUUGAACUGAAACCUAACACAAUUGAAAUGAUACAGCAAUUUGUUCAGUUUGAUGGUUUGCAGGAUGAGGAUCCAAACAACCACUUGGAAAAUUUUCUAGAGUUUUGCGAUACAUUUAAAAUCAAUGGCGUUUCUACUGAUGCCAUUCGCCUUCAGUUAUUCCCUUUUUCAUUGAGGAACAAAGCUAAACAGUGGUUGAACUCGUUACCACAAGGGUCAAUCACUGCUUGGGAACAAAUGACCGAAAAAUUUUUAUUAAAAUAUUUUUCGUCGACUAAAACAGCCAAAUUACGUAAUGAUAUCUCUUCAUUUAUGCAAAUGAAUAUAGAAACACUCUAUGAUGCAUGGGAGAGAUACAAGGACCUUUUAAGAAGAUGUCCUCACCAUGGGUUACCACUCUGGCUACAGGUUCAAACGUUUCACAAUGGCCUGAAUCCUUCGACUAGACAGAUGAUUGACGCAGCUGUUGGAGGAACUAUCAAUAAUAAGACACCUGAGGAUGCUUAUGAAUUUAUAGAAGAGAUGUCACUAAAUAAUUAUCAAUAGCAAGUCAUGAGGACAAAACCGAUGAAAGCAACCGGGGUUUUUAAUGUUGAUUCGGUCACCAUACUUUCUAAUCAGGUAGAACUUUUGAAUAGAAAAAUUAACAGUUUUUUUGGUUCUUCACAGGUUCACCCAGUAAUGCAAUGCAAUGCAAGUGGGGGAGAAUUGAGCAAUUCAGAAUGCCCACCCUAUGGCCACAACAUGAAAAACAAGCAAUUAAAUUAUAUGGAUAAUAAUCCUCGACCUCAAAAUAAUCCUUAUAGUAACACUUACAAUACAGGAUGGAGGAACCACCCAAAUUUCUCAUGGGGAGGCCAAGGGAAUCAGAGACCACCACCAUUUCCAGGUUUCUAACAGCAACCUUACCAGCAAAAUAAAAAUUUGAACCUUGAGGAAAUGCUAACAAAAUUCAUCUUGGUGUCAGAAACUCGUUUCCAGAAUACCGAGACAGCACUUAAAAAUCAACAAGCGUCGAUCCAAGGGCUCGAAACUCAGAUAGGCCAGCUCGCUAAAUUGAUAUCUGAAUGAACACAAGGUAGCCUACUGAGUAACACUGAAUCUAACCCAAGGGAGCAACUCAAUGCGAUUGCCAUUCAAGAUGAGGAAGGGUUAGUUACAUCUAAACCAGAACCGAGGCAAGAAACUGUGGUAAGUAAAGGUAAAGGUAAGGUAAACCACAUCGAGCAGAAACCGGUAAGUAAAGAGUACAAACCACGAGUGUCAUACCCAAAUGCGACAAAGAAAGACCAUACAGAUGAACAAUUUUGUAAACUCCUUAAACUAUUAAAGAAAUUACACAUUAACUUACCGUUUAUUGAAGCCCUUUCGUAGAUGCCGAACGCAGUCAAGUUUUUAAAGGAGCUUUUAGGAAACAAGUGAAAGUUGGAUGAAGCGUCGCAUGUGGAGUUGAACGUAGCUUGCUCAGCUAUUCUACAAAAUAAGCUACCCAACAAAUUAAAAGAUCCAGAGAGUUUUACAAUUCCUUGCUUAAUUGGUAGCUUAGAUGUUAAUAAUACUUUGGCUGAUUUAGGGGCUAGCAUCAAUGUCAUGCCUUACAAAAUGUUUAAGUAACUAGGUCUUGAGAAACCCAAACAAACUAAGAUGAGUAUUCAAUUAACCGAUGAAACAAUUAGAUUUCCUAGGGUUAUUAUUGAAGAUGUACUCAUUAAAAUUGACAAAUUUAUAUUCCCAGUUGAUUUCGUUGUUCUAGACAUAGAGGAGGAUAGUAACGUUCCUUUAAUUUUAGGGAGCCCUUUUUAGCAACUGUUAGAACAAUAAUUGAUGUUGGCACAGGUGAACUCACACUUCGUGUGGGAGACGAAACAAUCACCCUUUAAGCUCGUAAUUCAAGUAACACAUCAAAAAUUGAAGGUGGUUGUAUAAAUCAUACUAUUAAAACUGAUCAUUUGGUGAAACCUUCCUGGCAGGAAACACGUUCAAAGAACACACCUGAGCCAUGUUCGAGUAACGACAAAAGACCUAUCUAUGAAGAAUGAAGGCUACAACUUGAGGAACUAGAUGAAUAGCUGACACAUAAACCGAGGACACACGAUAAACCAAAACCAUGCCAUGACGAGCUCAAUAUUUCACCAAAUCAACUUAAGGUUGGAGACAAAGUACUACUAGAUGCGGUAGACCCUCGUAUUGCUACGUCUGAACCUAACGGAGCAAUCCCUCUUACAGUACUCAACAUUUUCCCAUAUGGUACAGUCGAGGUUAUUCAUCCCAAACUCGGCACUUUUAAGGUAAACAGUACUCGUCUUAAACCUUAUUUUGAUAAAAUUGAUAGCAGGGAUGAGGAGUGUGAACUCCUCACAUCACAAUGACCAUGCAACAGAAAGGUAAGUCGAGCUUAGACUAUAAAUAAGCGUUUUUCGGGAGGCAACCCGAGCAUUAAUGAUGUUAACUUUUUUAAAAUUUUAGUUUUUUACAUCUAAUCACUAACUGAGUCAGUGAAACACAGGUUUUCUAAUCUACACGGCCAAGCACACGGACAUGCCUUAGGCCGUGCUCACACCAUGGGAGGAGACACAGCCGUGCGAUACUGCCGUGUGAAAACAGGGUAAAAUUUUUCCUUAACACGGGAUGUGAUAAGUUGCCACGGCCGUGCGAUGUAGCCGUGGGCGAGUCUUUCAAACCAACACAGGCGUGUGACACACCCGUGUCUAUAAACCAUGGUUGAAACUGAGAAUUUAGCACGAGCAUGUCCUAUCAACCGUGCUCAAGACUGAAAAAAGAACACGGGCGUGGACAUCUAUACACGGGCAUUGGAGAAGAGAAUGAAACAGAACAUGGUCGUGUGACACAGACGUGUGCACCAACACGCCCAAAGAGCACGGGCGUGUGAAGAAUUUCAGACACGCCCAAAUUUGAAAAUUACGAUAAACACGAGCUGAAAUAAGGGCACAUGGGGGUGCCCCACGACCGUGUGCCCCAAAAUCUAUAUAAACCCCUUACUAUUCAUCACCCCCUUCCCCAAAAUCUCUAACCCUAGCCGCUGCAACUUCACAUGCCCUACCUGCCACGCCCGUGCACCGUCCACAGCACCACCUUUGACAACCCAAAGCUCCUCCCUCUUACGUUUGUACAUUUUUUUCCUUCUAUUCUCUUCAUUCUUUUACUUAUUUGAUGAUAUUUUAUUUUAUUUUGAGUAAAUAAUCAUAGUUAUAAUGAUAGAAUACUUAUGCUCUUUGUUAAGAAAUUUACCAUUUUAAUUGAUAUAUUUUGCUGCAUUUAUCCACUUUUCUUGUUUCCAUAGAUUUCAUGCUUACCCACACCAUAUUUCAUACUUAUUAAACCCACAUGCAUUCAUUCAAUAGAUAUUUCCAUUAGCAUUACUCUCGUAGUCCUAUUCAUAGUAAUGACUUAAUAUAUCUGAUUGGGUUAUUUUUAGUAUAGUUGUUCUUUAGUACAUGACUUCUAUGAAGUAUCUCUAUUAGUUUUACCAUGCAUAUUUUCUAUGCUAUUGCUGGGGAGUAAUUUUAUUUUUUAUUUUUUCUUGCCAUUGUAGGUAUACUAUCUCAACCUUACGUGGUAAGGAGACCGCCAUCCCCUCUUCGAAGAAAAGGAAAGGAGCAACGUCAUCCUCAGGUCCUACCGCUGAGAUCCGUUACCCUUUCCUCCAGUUUCCCUUUGGACCCCAGGAGGAACUAUUUCAGAUAUUACGGGUCCGACCCUUAGGUGUAGGCCACUGCAUUGACUGGGCUGCACUUAAAAAAAUUCAAAUGGCUGACGUGGUCCAAGCCCUCCUGACGACUACCCGUGGAGGCUUUUCUUUGAGAUCAUCGAGCCGAUGUACCACGAGCUCACAAUGGAACUCUACUCGACCUUCCAUCUUCAAGUCGCCAUGAUAAACUGCGACGAUCCUAGAACGGUCCAAUUCCACCUCAGUGGUCUAGUGCGCCAGUUGAGCGUACCGAAGUUCAGAAUUGCACUAGGGCUGUAUAUGGAAGAGUUCAUGGAUGACAACGAACUUGACACCCUCUAUUGCCACAUCCACUACUCUCUCUCCAAAUGCUGGAAGGACUUUGUCCCUGCCUCGGCCACCUAUGAUCCUAACUACUCUAAGGCAUCAGCCCUCACCCCAUCCCUGUGAUACCUACACGCCAUCUUAGCCCACACUCUGACAGGGCGGCGAGAGAGCACCGGCAUCAUCAACACUCACGACGCCUACUUUUUAUAGAGCAUGGCAAACGGGCACGUCUUCGACCUUGCCUAUUUCAUUGCUCUCGCCAUCCGCCAUCAGACGGAGCGGCAUAGGAGAGGAGUUAUCACCAUUAGCCACUAUGUGACUCGACUGGCACGGCACUUCGGGCUCCUCAACACAGCAGCAUAAUCAUCCUCACUCACUCUCAUUGGUCAUAUGUCCCCUCAAGGCAUCUCGAGUAUGCUACAUAUGAGGAUGCUCGAGAAACGACGUGGAACUUACCCUCCUCAGUACCGCCUCGUCCAGUCCACUAAAGAGGAGAACCCAUAAGACAUUACUGAUGAUGUCCCUCCACGUCAUGAGGACCCACCGUCUCAACCAUCACCCAUCCAUCGUCCAGUUCAUGCGGUGGCUUCAUACUCUGAUAUCUCUAAGCACCUUACUCGAUUUAAGCAGCAGUGUUUUCAGUGCUUUGAUCACAUUGAUGCUACUCUUCAUCAGAUUUGUCAGCACCUUCACAUCUCAUCGCCACCACCACCUCGCGAACCAUCCGGCGAUGCUGAUGUUUAAAGACUUUUUAUUUUUUAUUUUUAUUUCCACUUUUAUCUUUAUUUAUCUUCUUUAAGUAGUUUUUAUUUUAUUUUCCUUUAAUAUUAUUUCAAUUUUAGGUUUUAUAAUUUUUAUUGAAUAAUUUAUAGUUUUGGCUAUUUUAUUACGAGUAAUUAUGCUUCCUUAUAUUUCCUAAAGAGUUCUUGAUUUUAUCACAGUUAUAAAGAGCUCUAAAGCUCAUCAUCACUUAGGAACUAAAAAAUCACUGGAAAAGGUUCUCCACAACUGUCAAGUCCUGCUCGACCACGACCACAGCUACUACCAGAUAUAAUAUUCUGUUGGCGCAGGACUUAUGGACUAAUGAACCUCUACCACCACCGGAGUAUCCUCCUCCACUCUCAUCAUUGCCUUGGCUGAUUAUUCUCCAUAACUCCAAUUGAAGGAGUUCAUUCAUCAUUCAGGAAGUUUAACUUCUCUUCUUAUCUUAUGAGUAUUUAUCUAUAUUUUUCAGUAUAUCUAUCUUUGUACAUUGAGGGCAAUAUACAUCUUAAGUGUAGAGGGUCUUUUAUAUCAUUAUCAGAAAAAUCCCUGAAUUUUAUCUUGUUCUCAAAUCAUCUUCUCAUAUCAUUAUUAGAAUAAAAUUUGAUUAAUUUAUGAUUGUUAUUGAUAUGUCUUCAAUUAAAACAUAGGCAUUCAUGUAUUGAUUGUUUAAACUUUAAGGAAUUAGAUAAUCAAGCAGGAUAAGUUGAUUUUUGAGAAUUAAAAAUUUUUAGGUUGUUUCCCCAAGUUUAGGUAUUAUCUCGAGUUAAAAUUCACAGGGUUAACAUCAACAAGCCAUAAUUUCUGUAAGAUCUUGAGCCUUUAGAGCAACUAUUAUUUCUUUCAUGCUCACUGUUAUUAUUGAUAAUGAGUGUGUCAAUAUUGAUUUAUUAUUCUAGAACUUGCUUGAUUAUGCAUGUCAAGACCACACCCUUGAGUUAAUAUGUCAAUAUGAUAAAGGCACCUAGGUUUAACCCACUCACUCCAUAAAAGCAUACCUUCAUAAUUUACCCUUAGUGAACCCCUUUGAGCCUAACAAGCCAUUAAUUGAUUUACCCUCAAUGUUAACCCAUAACACAUUAUUGUUGAAAUCCCCUAAUUUGAUCCCUAUUUUUGUCGAGAUUUGAUUUGAAUUAUUGCAUAGCUAUGUUUUAUUCUUCGUUGCAAUAAUUAGCAAAGUCCUAUGUUAUUUCACUUGUUUAUUUCACUUGUUCCUAAAAAAAAAUACAAUACUUACUUACAUAUUAAUAGUAAUUCGUCAUUUUUGAGCUUAAGUGUUAAUUCCAUAUUCUAAGAAGAAGCUCACUCGUAUUCAACUUAUAAUUAGUUGUUUUUCUAGUUAGGUGAUUUUUUUAAUUCAAUCUCGAUUCUAACCUUUCCUUUUAGCUUGUGACCACACCCCCUAACCAAAGCCACGUUACAACCCUCUAAAGACCUUUUGAUUGAUGUAUCAUCUCAAUAUAUAGUGGUGGAGAUUUGAUUUUCUGCAAGCCUAUGGUAAUAACUUUUCAUAUUGACUAAUGAGUGCUUCAUUUAUUAUCCUUAAACACCUCGAGUGAUUUGAGUGAAUCUUUAGUGAGGAUGUUAAACUCCGUGAUAUUUUGAAUCAAAGGUAAUCACUUAGAUGAGGGGAGACACCUAUGUUUUCGUGAUGAAAUGCUCAACUUGGAAUGUUUGAAACUUUGAUAUUCUUCUAGUUGAAUUCUCCAUGUAUGAUUACUUAUGAUUUAUUUUAAGAUAUUAUUGAUAGAGAUUAUAGAUUGAGAAGAAUUUAUUUUGAUUGUGAGUUGAGGAUUUUGCUUGAGGACAAGCAAACGCUUAAGUGUGAGAGUUUUUGAUAAACCGCAAUUUAUACAUAUUUUUAUCCCAUGCUUAGCACAUUUAUAUAUGAUUUCUCCUUAGAUUUGGUGAAUUUGAUGCACCAAAUCCUUUAAUUUCAUGUUUUAUACUUAGGUGACCAUAGCAGAGUAAAAAGAGCGAGAAACAGGUCGACAACGGAGAAAAAUAGACCCACAUGGGAAAUCGACACGGCCUGGACUUCCUCACACGGGUAAGCCACACGGCCAUGUCCAUUUGGCAGGAUCGGCGUACAAUUUACACAGGUAGACUACAUGCCCACGAUUAUUUAGCAACCUUCACCACGGUUUGGAGCAAUCGCACACGGGCGUGUCACACAGGCGUGUCCCUGUCGAGCCCAAGUAAAGUCCUAUUCGAAAAAGGCCACUUUUGAUGGCUCUUAGGCAUUCUAAAGCCUAUUUAAACACCUGAGGAGGCAGUUAGAACGGGGGGACACAGAGUAGGAAGCAAUGAAUUACUCGAAAAAAGCCGAUUGAUCCAUCUCAGAAGCUGGAUUAUUCAUCAAGACUGAAGAUCUCUCUUCAAUUUCCAUUCAAGAGUUUUGGGUUUUCUUUAUGUUUUGUAUUCAUUAUUCUUCUAAGGGGAAUGAAACUUAAGACGAAUCUUGUUAUUAUUAUCUAAAUUAUAAGAUAAAUAUUUGACUUGUUCUUAAUUAUGUAUUCUUAAUUCUUGUCUUAAUAUUUCAGGAUAUUGAUUCAGGUUAAUGCGCUUAUUCAGAGGAGCAAAAGUCCCUGUCUAAGAGUAAAUUUGUCAUAAUUAAGUGGAGUUGAUUGCACGCCUAGAGAUAGGGUGACAAGAUUUUACCAGAUUAUGGUGAAACCUAAUAAGGGAUCCAUAGAUCGAGUAAAUGCAACACUAGGGCGUUAAUUACAAAGAGAUUUCAAUUAAUCAACCUAGGGUUAGAUGUUAUUAGUCUCGAGAGAGAUAAUAAUAUAACUUAGGGAUUUCUACGAAUCAAGUUAAAUGAACAAAUCGCCUGAUUCAGAGUCAAAUAACAAGUGAAUCUAGGUGGAUUUUUCCUUGGGUAUUGUCUUUAUUAAUCGAAUUUUCUAAAAAGUAUUUUCCCAAUUUUUAGGCUAGAUAAUAAAAAGAAAGUAAUUACUAGUACUCUUGGUUCCUUUGGGUUCGACAAUUCGGUCUUGUUAAAGCUAUACUACUGUUCGAUAGGUACACUUGCCUUCAUCGUGAUAAUAGUUGGUUUUAAGAACGAUCAUUUAUAAAUUAUUUAAAACUUAUCGCAAAUAUCAUAAAUCAGUAGUCGUUUUACAUGGAUUUAUCUCAUUAAAUGAAUGUCUCAGAUGGUUGACUAUUUUUUUCAGUUUCAAAAAAUGGUCAAAACUCAGUUUGGGAAAGAUAUUAAAAAUUUUCAAAGUGAUUGGGGUGGUGAGUUUCGUGCCUUCGCAUCAACUCUUGCUAUUCAUGGGAUACUUCAUCACCUCUCCCGUCCACAUACAUCCGAGCAGAACGGUAUAGCCAAACCAAAACAUCAAGACAUUGUUGAGAUAGGUCUUACUCUCUUGACCCAAGCUAAUAUGCCCAUGGAUUUCUGGGGUUACGUGUUUUGCAGUGUCGUUUAUCUCAUUAAUCGUCCACCUACCUUGGUUUUGAAAGGUCAAUCUCCGUAUUAAGUUCUUCAUGGUAGUGACCCUACAUAUGAUCAUUUACGGGUGUUUGGGUGUUAUUUCUUUCCAUACUUGCGUCUGUUUCUGCAACAGAACUUGGAUUUUUGUUCUCAGCCUUGCACAUUUUUAGGGUAUAGUUCUCAACAUAAAGGCUAUCACUGCCUCACACCAGAUGGUAAGGCCAUUGUCUCUUAUCAUGUUGUGUUUGAUGAACGUCGAUUUCUCUUUUUUUUUAUGUUGCAAACACCGUCCAGUCAGGUCCAUGUAUCUCUACAUAUGUUCCUAUUGCUCAGUCUUCAUCUGCCGCGCCACGGCAUCCUCGCUUGUUCAGCCCAUUAAGUCCUCUUGACUCUUACUCCUAAUUGUAGUUCCAAGACGUCUAUUUCAGUUGACUCUCCGACUGAAUUGGGUUCUACUCAUGAGGUGCACCGGCUCUUCACCUCAUCUCCUGAAUCACGUCAAUGCGACUCUACUACAAUUCCCUCGGUUAUUCCAUCUAUUUUUCUAGAGAAUACUCAUAACAUGAUUACUCGGUCUAAGGCUAGUAUUUCUAAACCCAAAGCUUUCUCUGUUGAAACUGUCGACUAUGAGCCACACACGAUUGAUGAGGCACUCGCUAGUAAGGAAUGGCAAUUAGUUGUCCAAGCUGAGUUUGUUGCUCUAAUGGCUAACUCUACCUGGGAGCUUGUUCCCUUACUUCAUUGUCGAAAAGUGAUUGGGUGUAAGUGGCUUUUUAAAAUAAAAAAAAUCCUGAUGGGGCUAUCACUUGGCACAAGGCUCAGCUGGUAGCAAUGGGUUGUUCUUAGGUACCUGGGUGUGAUUUCAAAGAAACCUUUAGUCUAAUGGUUACACCUACUACUAUUAGAAAAAUAUUGUCUAUUUCUGUUUCCAAUGGGUGAAAACUUCGUCAAAUCGAUGUGAAUAAUACCUUUUAAGAUGGUGAUCUCACUGACGAAGUGUUUAUGCAACAACCUUCAGGCUAUGUUCAGAUUGGUCCAUAUCGUGAGCUAUUGGUGUGUCGUCUGAAAAAGGAGUUGUAUGGAUUACGACAAGCUCCACGUGCCUGGUUUGAUAAAUUGAAACAUUUUUUCUACCAGAUUUGUGUUAUCCAAAUCUGAUGCAUCCCUGUUUGUUCGAGUUACGUACGUAUCCACUAUUUAUGUUCUAAUCUAUGUGGAUGAUAUUACCGUUACUGAAAGUACGACUGACGGUAUAAAUGACUUUAUUCAACAGUUACAUAAUAAGUUUUCCCUUAAAGAUAUGGGAGAUCUUCACUACUUCUUAGGUAUUCAAGUCACUCGGUCAUCCACUAGAAGUCUUCAUUUGUGCCAACGCAAAUACAUCUAGGAUCUGCUUGACAGGAGUUCCUGGGCUAACGUGAAAAGUGUUCACACACUGAUGGUUAGUUCUUUUACAUUGUCUAAAGAUGAGAAAAAUCACCUCGUUGAUCCCACUAAAUAUAGGAGCCUUGCCGGAGCAUUACAAUAUGUGGUCUUAACUCGGCCUAAUAUUGCUUAUGCGGUAAAUCGUGUUUGUCAAUUCAUGCAUAUGCCUACUACGGUACAUUUGGUGGCUUUGAAAAUAAUCUUGCGCUAUUUACGUGGCACUAUUGAUCAUGGGUUAAUUUUUCGUCCGUUCGACAGAUUGUCUUUAGUUGGCUAUGCUGAUUCCAACUGGGGACUGGAUUUUGAUGAUCGUCAGUCAACCAUAGACUAUUGUGUGUAUUUUGGACAUACAUCCAUCUUUUUGUGUUCUAUGAACCAACAAGUUAUUUUUCACUCCACGGCUGAUGCGAAGUAUCGUAGUCUAGCAGUAGCUACCAGUGAUGUUACUUGGUUAGCCUCUCUGUUAACGAAUUUAAAAAUUUGUUCUGCAAAUCCACUUACUAUUUGGUGUGACAAAUCUAGUGCAAUAGUGGUUGCUGCUAAUCCGGUUUUACACUCCAAAUUUAAACAUGGCGAGCUUGAUCUAUUUUUUGUUCGCGAAAAUGUCACUAAUGGUUCUCUCAUUGUUGGCGAAGUUCCGGCAUGUGAUCAGGUUGCUAGUAUUCUCACAAAACCAUUGUCCAUCUCUACUUUUGCUAGGUUUCAUAGUCUGCCUCAAGUCUUACCUCUUGAGAAGCUGGAUGAAGCCGGGUGAAUAUUAGAGUAUAGACUCUAUUAGUCUGUUACCAUUUUGUUAUACAGGCUAGAAUAUUGUUAGUAACCAGUUAGCAGCAAUUAGUCAUAGCAGUUAGUCAUACAAGUAUAAAUUCUAUUUAUGUAUAGUUCAAAGGUAAGCUAAUAAUACCAGAAGAGAUUUAACGUGUUCAUUCUACUUUCUUUGUUAUUCUUCAUAAUACAGUUGUUAACAGGCUUGAUAUCAUCUCUUAGAGAAAACUAGGAGAGAUAAGAGUAAGAGUAUGAGCAAACUAUGGAUAAGGCUCUACCAUAAUACCUUAGAUGCAGUUAAAGUAAGAGUAAGAGCCAACUUGUUUGGCUUGAUAGCAUCCCCUUAUAGAAAAAGCUCUACCGCAUGGCAUUAGAGCAAUAAAAGUAACACUUAAUUUCUUGGUUGAUAGCAUCUCGUAGGGGAAAAAGGUUUACCAUGUGACAUGAAAGUAAUUAAAGUAAGAUUAAGAGCUAACUUGUUUGUCUUAAUCGCAUUGUUUAAGAGAGAUCCAAAUAAAUUUACUCAAAAUAUGUUAAUCAAAUAAUGCAAAUUACAAUGUUUUGUCAAUUUUUCCUUUAAUUGUAACUGGGUUAAAGUUGGUAGUUGUAACUGGUACUAAUAGAAUAGAUUUGGUAGAAAUGGUUGAAAGCAACAUAAGCAAAGAUGACUUUGAUGUCAUUGUAUUGACCACGUGGGAACUAUAGAAUGUAGAGAAUAGUAUGGUGAUUGGCAUCAGAAUGUUGCUAACUUUGAGGACAGUAGAUAAGGAUGGAUCCAAAGGGGCUGUGGGCGGCCCCCUUGAAAUUUUCAAAUUUUUGAAUUUAUAUAUAAAUUAUCAUGUAUUUUAGAUUUGGUGUCCACAUUGUAUAACAUUCACCCCCUUUGCCAAAUUGUAUUUCAUAUCAUUCGCCCCCUUAAACCAUAAGGUUAUACUUUAUAUUAACAAAGUAUUUUCCAUUUUUUUUAAUUAUAUAAAUUUAAUAAUAACAAUAAUAAUAAAAUAUUAAUGUAUGAUAGGCAUUGAAAGACUAAACUUAUAGGUCCAAUUUGGACUUUAAAGCCAAAUUCUAUAAUUAAUUAAUUGAUUUGGCUCAUACCUAUACAUAUUAGGUUAGCGACUUUCUUGUAUUUUGAUUUGUAUGUCUUCUUAAGGAAUUAUCUUCCUUUGGUAAAGUGUUGACACUACCAAGAGAAAAAGAAAGGAUUUUGAUGACGAGACUAAGAGUAUAGAGCAAAAAUAUACAAAUUAUCUUCCUCUUGGCUCCUUAUGCAAAAAACCUCUCGGUAAAUUUUUUGCAUAAAUUAUGUUCUUUAUUUAUUUGACUUAUUUUUUUUAUUUUUUCCUAAUAUAUUUUGUUUAAUAUAUUAUUAAAAUCAUCAGGUUUUUCGAUUAAAUAAUGGUCAAUAAAAAGAUCGAAUCUAUUUUUUUAAAAAAAAGGUGUCAGAAAGCAAUAGUGAUCAACCAGUUCCUUAACCUUCUGUUAUUCGUGAAGAAAAACCAAAUAUUGGAUAUUCCCAAGCUCCUGAAUGAAAUAUUAGGUCUUAUCAAGCCCAAACUUUUGAAUGCGAUAUGGAGUCUUCCCCAGUUCUUAAACUAGAUUGUUACACUCCUUACCUGAUCCGAUCACCAAAUCCAUGUAGAGAGUACCACAACUUAAACCAUAUGAAUUGAAUAAUAAAUAUUUGAAAUUUAUUAAAGUAUCGAGUUCUUGGUGUAACCCUCAGUAUAAUAAUAUGAAACAAUCAAAUCAAUGAUACGCCAGGAACAAACAUUUUUAGGAAAAACACAUGGCGGAAACCUUACAAAAGUUUAUAAGUUUAUAUGAAAUGUAAGAUGAGUUAAUCCCAUACAAUAGUUUCAAGUGCAUUUUUGGCAGUUAAAACAACACUCUAAAACUAUUUGGUGUAGAUGCCAAUGAGACAAUCAUGUGGAAUAAGAUAUAGUAGCAUAAACACAUACAUCACUUACCAUGUCAUUAUAACAUAUACUAACCACAUAAACAAAUUUCUCGAGCUGCGAACGAACAAGUUUACCCAAACAUCUGGGGUUGGUAGAUAGCUUAUCAGAAAAGCCCUCCAAAUCCUAGAGUUCACCAAAACCUGGAGUUCGCCAAAUAGAGAUUCCCAUAGAAUACGCCAAACACACAACCAAAAAACAAAUACUCUACUAACUUACUUAUUUUUUAUUCUUAGCAUAAACAACUAUGCGCCAAAAAGUAACUUGAUACAUUAUCCAUCAGGCGGGUUGUUACAAUUCUCCCUCACUUAGAAAAUUUUGUCCUCAAAAUUCUUAACGGUGAAUAACUGAGGAUAUUGUUCUUUUAUUGAACUCUCUCUUUCCCAAGUGGAUUCUUUUUUAUUGUGAUUUCUCCAUAAUACAUUAACAAAAGGAAUUCUUUUUCUUCUCAACUUUUUUACCUCCCUUGCUAAUGCGAACAGGUUCUUCUUCAUAGGAUAUGUUUGGCUCCUUUUCUAAUGCUUUGACUUGUACCACAUGAUCUGGUUUGGAUUGAUAUUUUCUUAACACGAACACAUUAAUCACAUUGUGUAUCUUUGAUAACUCUAGUGGCAACACCAAUCUGUAUGCCACUGGACCAACCAGUUCCAAAAUCUCAUAUGGUCCUACGAAAUGCAGACUUAAUUUCCCUUUUUAUUCUAACCUUAUGAUAUUCUUCCAAAGAGAAAACUUCAUAAAUACAUUGUCACCCACUUCGAAAGAGAUUUCUUUCCUUUUUAGAUCAACAUAAGCUUUCUGACGAUCUUAAGUUACUUUCAGAUGAUUUCAAAUAAUAGAGACUUUCUCUUCUGUUUCUUGUACUAAAUCAAAACCAACUAUUUUCCUUUCACUGAGUUCCAUCCAACAGGUGGGAGAUCUACGCUUUCUUCCAUACAAAGCUUCAAAUGGUGAUAUUUCUAGAUUGGCGUGAUGACUAUAAUUAUACACAAACUUUGGCAAAGAAAGAUAUCUUUCUCAAUUCAUUCUGAAAUCUAUAAUACAACUUCUGAGCAUGUCUUCCAAAACUUGAAUUACUCUUUCAAAUUGUUCACCUGAUUAGGGAUGAAAGGCAGUACUGAAUCAUAUCUUGGUUCCUAACGAUUCUUGUUGUUGUCUUCAAAAUCUUGAUGUAAACAUUAGGUCUCGAUCUAAAACUACGGAUGUUGGAAUCCCAUGAAGACAUACAACUUCAGAAACGCAGAGCUUAGCCAACUUUUCCAAUGAGUAAUUUGUGCGGGCAAACAAGAAAUAGACUGACUUAGUAAGUCGAUCUACAAUUGCGCAAACUGAAUUCUUCUUUGAAAGGCUGAAAGGGAGAGCCAAAACAAAAUCCAUGGUGAUGUUAUCCCACUUCCACUUAGGUAUCUCUAAAGGGUACAACUUGCCUAAGGGAACCUGAUGUUCUGUUUUAAUCCGCUGACAUGUCAAAGAAAUGGAGAUGUACUCUGUUAUUUCUUUCUUCAUUCCAGGUCACCAAUACAAACUUCUCAAAUUACGAUACAUUUUAUGUAAUGCUCUCAACCCGACUCGAUAUGUCGAGUUUGGAUCUCGGGUAUUACUAUACACAGUACUUAGUAAAAUAUCAAAAUAGCUGACAAAUACUCUUUACUAAAAACAUUUUCUUAUUAUUUUAACCGAAAGAGUAAAUAUUUAAUAACAAGGGUAAAUAUUAGAAAUAAAAUAAAUUAUUACAUCAGACUUGGUACAACUGAUUAUAGUAUAAAAUUUUGUUAAAGACAGACUCUUGGGGAAUAACCCUAAUCUAUGCCACUUUUCCACUAUAUACAUAAUAACCCACUUCAGCACUAUCUUGGCAUACUCCUAGCAUCGUCACUCCUAACGCAUUCUCUACCCAUACACCUAAAAACAACAACAUUAUAAGCUCAAGAGAACUUAGUGAAUUUUAUCCCAAAAAUACCUUGGCGAGUACUUUAAUUAUUUGACUAACAUCUGUGCGCCAUCUAUCUUUUUAAACCACCUUCUUCUGAAUCAGACGGAUACUAUUACAGAUUCGACUUUCACUUAUACGCCAGCUAUCAUACUCUUAACACACUCACUUAUUCUAGAACAGUUUUUCACAUAUAUUAAUCAUUGACAGAUACAUACAUUUUUGGUGAAUACUUACGCAGAUCUAAAUACCAUCAAACUACUAAUCAAAUCAUACAUUGAUUCGAUACCAUACAAACUCCCAUUGAUAAUGUACUACACAAUUUAUUCAAAUGAAUUUUCCACUACUUUGUUACAGGACCCCAGAAAAUCAUCAUAACAAUAACUCAAUUUCCAUAUGAUUUCAAAAAAGGAUAUAAUACAACCCAAAUAUGGCGAAUUCCAGACAACUCAGAUUCAACAACUGUAUAACAUAGACAAAAUCACAUUGAUAAUUUCUUAUGUCCCAAAUAACUAUGAAUACGUCCAUAUUCAAUACUAACAGAUAAUCAUGACGGAUACCCUUCUUAUACAUAUAUGCAUUUCUUUUCUAAAAAUCUCUUAAGACUUACUCAGUUAUAUCACAGAUCUUAUUCAACCUUUAACUUCAGACGUAUCAUAAACCUAUCAGAUCAAUAUCUGUCACAAAGAAAUUGGCAUUUACCCAGAUUUUACAAUAAAGGCAGAUAAUCAUAUUAUAGUAGACAAACUUAACUGAAAGUGCUACAAAGGCCAAACAAAAUAUGCCAUAAAGGCUUCAUACAAAAUCAUGUGUUUACUAUCUCGACGGAUGAUACAUGAUAUUCGUGACAGGUUUUAAAAAUUUAUAAUUAAUCGUUCUUUAAAUUAACUAUUAUCACGAUGAAGGCAAGUGUACCUCUCGAACAGUAAUAUAGCUUUAGCAAGACCGGAUGGUCGAACCCAAAGGAACCAAGAGUACUAGUAAUUGCUUUCUUUUUAUUAUCUAGCCUAAAAAUUAAGGGAUUUAUUUAUCUAAUUAAUUAACUAAACUAAGGGUGCACAGAAAGAAAAUUGGGGAAAAGCUUUUGGGAAAACUCGAUUGAUUAAGACAAUACCCAAGAAAAAAUCCACCUAGACUUCACUUAUUAUUUGACUCUAAAUCAGACGAUUUAUUCAUUUGACUUGAUCCGUAGAAAUCCCUAAGUUAUAUUAUUAUCUCUCUUGAGACUAAUAACGUCUAACCCUAGGCUGAUAAUUGAAAUCUCUUUCUAAUUAACACUCUAGUGUUGCAUUAACUCGAUCUAUGGACUCCCUUAUUAGGUUUCACCCUAAUCCAGUAAAAUCUUGUCACCCUAUCUCUAGGCGUGCAAUCAACUCCGCUUAAUUAUGAAAAAUUUACUCUUAGAUAAGGACUUUUGCUCCUCUAAAUAAGCACAUUAACUUGAAUCAAUAUCUUGGAAUACUAAAACAAGAAUUAAGAACACAUAAUUAAGAACAAGUCAAAUAUUUAUCAUACAAUUCAGAAAAUAAUAACAAGAUCCGUCUUAGGUUUCAUUCCCCUUAGGUAUUUUGAGGUUUUAGUUCAUAAUUAUGAAAGAAAACAUCUCAAAAGAAUAAUGAUAACAAAACAUAAAGAAAACCCAAAACUCCUGAAGGAAAUUGAAGGGAGAUCCUCAGUCUUGACGAUGAAUCCGGCUUUUGAAAUGGAUCAAUCGGCUUUCCUUGAGUAAUUCAUUGCCUCCUACUCCCUAUGUAUCUUCUAAGUGCCUCCUCAGGUGUUUAAAUAGGCUUUAUAAUGUCUAAAAGCCCUCAAGAGUGGCCUUUUCUGAAUAGGACUGAACUUGGGCUCGAUAGGGACACGCCCGUGUGACACGCUCGUGUGCAAUUGCUUCAGACCGUAGUCAAGGCUACUAAAUAGGCAUGGGCGUGUGGUCUACCCGUGUGAGGAAGUCCAGGCCGUGUUGAUUUCUGAUGUUGGUCCAUUUUCUUCAUUUUCAGCCCGUUUCUCGCUCUUUUUACUCUCUUAUGCUCACCAAAGUAUAAAACAUGAAAUUAAAGGAUUAGGAGCAUCGAAUUCACCAAAUCUAAGGAGAAUUCAUCCAAAAAUAUGCUAAGCAUGAGGUAAAAAUAUGUAUAAAUUAUGGUUUAUUAAAUACCCCCACACUUAAGCGUUUGCUUGUCCUCUAGCAAAAUCCUCAACUCAAAAUCAAAAUAAAUUCUUCUUAACUUGUAACCCCUAUCAAUAAUAUCUCAAAAUAAACCAUAAGUAAUCAUGUAUUGAGAAUUCAACUAGAAAAGCAUUAAAGUCUCAAACAUUCCAAGUCGAGCAUUUUAUCACGAAAACAUAGGUGUUUCCCCUCAUCUAAGUGAUUACCUUUGAUUCAAAAUAUCACAAAGUUUUAACAUCCUCACUAAAGAUUCACUCAAAUCACUCGAGGUGUUUAAGGAUAAUAAAUGAAGCACUCAUUAGUCAAUAUGAAAAGUUAUUACCAAAGGCUUGUAUGAAAGUCAAAUCUCCACCACUAUAAAUUGAGAUGAUACAUCAAUCAAAAGGUCUUUAGAGGGUUGUAAAGUGGCUUUUGUUAGGGGGUGUAGUCACAAGCUGAAAGAAAGGUUAGAAUCAAGAUUGAAUUGAAAAAUUACCUAACUAGAAAAAUAACUAGUCAUUACUUGAAUACAUGUAAACUUCUUCUCAAAAUAUGAAAUUGAACACUUAAGCUCGAAAACAACGAAUUACUACUAAUAUAUGUAUGUAUUAUAAUUUUUUUUAAGAACAAGUCAAAUAAUAUAGGUUAAUUAUCAAAAAUAAAACAUAGCUAAGUAAUUUAUUCAAAUUAAAUCUCGACAAAAAUUGGGAUCAACUUGAUUGAGGGGAUUUCAACAGUAAUAGGUUAUAGGUUAAUAUUGAGGGUAAAUCAAUGGAUAGUUUGUUAGGCUCAAAGGGGUUCACUAAGGACAAAUUAUGAAGGUAGGCUUUUGUGGAGUGAGUGGGUUAAACCUAAGUGCCUUUAUCAUCUCGACAUAUUAAAUCAAAUGGUGUGGUCUUGACAUGCAUAAUCAAGCAAGUUCUAGAAUAACAAAUCAAUACUGACGCACUCAUAAUAAAAGUGAGCAUGAAAGAAAUAAAAUAUGAUCUAAAAGCUUAAAAUCUCACAAAAAAUUAUGGCUUUUUGAUGUUGAACCUGUGAAUUUCAACUCAAGAUAAUACCUAAACUUGGGGAAACAACCUAAAAAUUUUAAAUACUCAAAAAUCAACUUAUCAUGUCUGAUUUUCUAAUUCCUUCAAAGUUUAAACGGUCAAUGCAUAAAUACCUAUGUUUUAAUUCAAGACAUAUCAAUAAAAAUCAUAAAUUAAUCAAAAUUCAUUCUAAUAAUGAUAUGAGAAGAUUAUUUGAGAACAAGACAAAAUUUAAGGAUUUUUUUGAUAAUGAUAUAAAGGCCCCCCACACUUAAGAUGUACAUUGCCCUCAAUGUACAAAGUUAGAUUUACAACGAUAUAGAUAUAAGAUCAUAAGAUAGGGAGAGAAGUGAAACUUCCUGAAUAAUGAAUGAACUCCUUGAAUUGGAGUUAUGGAGAAUAAUCGGCAAAGGCAAUGAUAAGAUUGGAGGAGGAUACUUCGGUGGUGGUAGAGGUUGGGUUCCACAACCUCAGUGUCCAGCGAAGAAGUUAUCGUGGUGGUCGAGCAAGACAUUACAGUUAUGGAGAACCUUUUCCAGUGGAGUUUCAAGUUUCUAAGUGAUGGUGAGCUUUGGGGCUCUUAGUAACUGUGAUAAAAUCAAGAACUCUUUAAGAAAUGUAAGGAAGCAUAAUUACACGUAAUGAAAUAGCUGAAACUAUAAAUUAUUCAAUAAAAAUUAUAAAACCUAAAAAUGAAAUAAUAUUAAAGGAAAAUAAAAUAAAAAGUACUUAAAAAUGUAAAUAAAAAUAAAAUAUAAAAAGUUUUUAAACAUCGUCAUCGCUGGAUGGUUCGCAAGGUGGUGGUGGUGAUGAGAUGUGAAGGUGCUGACAAAUCUGAUGUAGAGUAGCAUCAAUGUUAUCAAAGCGCUGAAAACACUAUUGCUCAAAUCAAUAAGGCACUCAGAGAUGUCAGAGUAUGAAAUCGCCGCAUGAACUGGACGAUAGAUGGGUUGUGGCUGAAAUGGUGGGUCCUCAUGACGUGGAGGGACAUCAUUAGUAAUUCCUCCGGGUCCUCCUCCUCGGCUGACUGGAUGAGGCGGUACUGAGCAGAAUCGAUUCCAUGUCAUUUCUCGAUCAUCCUCAUAUGUAGCAUGCUUGAAAUACCCUGUGGGGACAUCUGGCCGAUGAGAGUGAGCGAGAAUGAUUGUGCCACUGUGUUAAAGAGUCCAAAGUGCCGAAUCAAUCGAGUCACAUAGGGGCCAAUAGAGAUGACUCCCUUCCUAUGCCGUUCCGUCUGAUGGCGAAUGGCGAAGGCAAUGAAAUAGGCGAGGUCGAAGAUGUGCCCAUUCGCCAUGCUCCAUAAAAAGUAGGCAUCGUGAGUGUUGACAAUGCCGGUGCUCUCUUGUCUUCCUGUCAGAGUGUGGGCCAAGAGGGCGUGUAGGUACCUCAAGGAUGGAGGGAGAGUUGAUGUUUUGGAACGGUUAGGGUCGUAGGUGGCCGAGGGAGGGACGAGGGCCUCCAGCACUUCGAGUGAGAGUAAUGGAUGUGGCGAUGAAGGAUGUCGAGUUCGUUGUAGUCCAUGAACUCCUCCGUAUACAGCCCUAGUACAAUUUUGAACUCCGGUACGCUCAAUUGGCACACUAAACCACCAAGACGAAACUGGACCGUUGUAGGAUCGUCGAACUCUGUCAUAACGGUUUGGAAGUGAAAGGUCGAAUAGAGUUCCAGUGUGAGCUUAAGGUAUAUCGGCUUGAUGAUCCCAAAGAAGAGCUCCCAUGGAUCAGUCGACAGAAGGGCUCUGACCGCGUCAACCAGUUGGACUUGUUCAAGUGCGGCCCAUUCAAUGCAGCGGCCCACACCUAAGGGUCAGGCCCGAAGUAUCUAAAAGAGUUCUUCCUAAGGUCCUAAGGGAAACUAAAUAAAGGGGUGCCUGAUCUCCACGGUAGGACCCAAGGAUGACACUGCUCAUUUCCUUUUCUUUGAAGCGGGGACAGCGAUUUUCUUACCAUGGUUUGACAUGAUAUCUGCAAUGGCAAGACGAAAAAAAUAAUAAAUAAAAAAGUAAACUUACUCUCCAACAAUAACAUGAAAAAACAUAUGCAAUGCAUGUUAAAACUAAUAGAGAUACUUUAUAGGAGUCAUGUACUAAAGAACAACUACGCUGAAAAAUAACCCAAUCAGAUAUAUUAAGUCAUUACUACGAAUAGGAAUAUGAUAAUAAUGCCUAGUGAAUGAAUGCAUAUGGAAAUGAUGAUAUGGAAAAUAGAAUGAAGUCCAUGGCAACACAAGAAUGGUGGUAUCAUAAUGCAUCAACUAAGAUAGCAAGAAACAAAGAGCAUAAGCAAGGCUAUUAUUAGAACUAUGAAGAUUAACAGUCAAAAUAAAACAAGAAAAAUCGAAUUCAUAAACGAAAUGAAGAGAAAAGAAUGGACAAACGCAAAAGCUUGGUAGAGGGAGGAGCUUGGGCCGUCGUUAGUGGUGUUGUGGUUGGCGCACGGGCGUGGCAGGAAGGCGUGGGCAAGAGUUACGGCGGCUACAGUUAGGGAUUUUGGGGAAGGGGAUGAUGAAUAUAAGGGGUUUAUUCAACUCGUGUUUAUCGCGAUUUUUAAAUUUGGGCACGUCUGAAAUUCGUCCCACGCCGAUGUCCUUUGGGCGUGUUGGUGCACAUGGCCGUGUCGUACGGUCGUGUCCUACUUCGUUCACUUCUCCCACGCUCGUGUGUAUAAGCACACGCCCGUGUUGUUUGAUCAGUCUUGAGCACGGUUGGUGGGCACGGGCGUGUCGCACACUUGUGCUAAAUUCUCAGUUUCAACCACGAUUUCAAGACACGGGCGUGUCACACGCCCGUGUUGAUUUGAAAGACUCACCCACGGCCACGUUACACAGCCGUGGCAACUUAUCACAUCUCGUGUUAAGCAAAAAUUUUUCCCUGUUUCCACACGGUCGUGUCGCAAGGCCGUGUCUCCUCCCGUAGUGUGAGCACGGCCUAAGGCACACCUGUGUGCCUCACCGUGUGAAUUAGAAAACCAGUAUUUCAAUGACUCAGUUAGUGAUUAGAUGUUAAAAACUAAAAUUUUAAAGAAGGUAACACUAUUAGUGCUCGGGUUACCUCGCGAAAAGCAUUUAUUUAUAGUCUAAGCUCGACUUACCUCUCUGUUGCAUAGUCAUGGUAGUGCAAGGAGUUUACACUCCUCAUCCCUGCUAUCAAUUUUAUCAAAAUAAGGUUUUAGACAAGUACUAUUUACCUUAAACGUACCGAAUUUGGGAUGAAUUACCUCGACUGUGCCGUAUGGGAAAAUACUAAGUACCGUAAGAGGGAUUUCUCCAUUAGGUUCAAAGGUGGCAAUCCGAAGGUCUGCUGCAUCUAAUAGUACUUUGUUUCCAACCUUAAGUUGAGUUGGAGAAAUAUUGAGCUCGUCAUGGCAUGGUUUUUUUUAUCGUGUGAUUUCGAUUUCUGUGUCUGCCAUUCAUCUAGUUCCUCAACCUGUAGCCUUGUUCUUCAUAGAUGGGUUCUUUGUCGUUAUUUGAAUGUGGCUCAAGUGUGUUUCUCGAAUGUGUUUCCUGCACAGAGGGUUUCACCACAUGAUCAGUACUGAUAGAAUUUCGAGCUUGAGGAGUAAUUGAUUCAUCACCCAUACGAAGUGUGAGUUUACUUGUGCCAACAUCAAUUAUAGUUUUAGCAGUUGCUAGAAAGGACCGUCUUAAAAUUAAAGGUGCGUCGCUAUCCUCUUCUAUGUCUAGAACAACAAAAUCAAUUGGGAAAAUAAAUUUAUCGAUUUUUACCAAUACAUCUUCAAUGAUACCCCUGGGAAAUCUAAUAGUUUUAUCAGCUAACUGAAUACUCAUCCUAGUUUGUUUAGGUUUCCCAAUACCUAGUUGUUUAAACAUUUUAUAAGGCAUGAAAUUGAUACUAGCCCCUAAAUCAGCCAAAGCGUUAUUAACAUCUAAGCUACCAAUUAAAUAAGGAAUCGUAAAACUCCUUGGAUCUUUCAAUUUGUUGGCCAUGAUGUCUCGUUGAGAGCACCAAAAAUAUCCUAUUCUCUGUAAAAUAGUAAAAAUAACAGUAAAAGGGAAGUAGGGUCGAAUCCUCAGGGACCGGAUUGUACAAAUGCUCGUUUCUUGAAAUCCUGGACAAUUUCUUGGCCAAGAAAACCUGCGUUCCUGAAAAAUAAAAAAAAUAAAAUUAAGAAUCUGGAAAAAAAAAUAGAAUUUAAAGGGAAUUGAAAUUGCGAAAUUAAAUAAAUUGUCGAAAUUAAAAUGAGGAAAAAUAAAUAGAGUUGGGAAAAGAGAAAGUUUCUUAUGUGGCGAGAUUCCAGGCUCCGGUUGUCUCGUUCCGCCUUGGGUUCAAUCCUUGGCCUUUAAGUAACCCUUCCCAACUCAAGUAAGCCAGUUAUAGUGGAAGAGGAUGCCUACGACCACCAGCUCCAAAGAUUAGACUUACGAUUUUUAGGGAACCUGACUCUAACCAGUAAUCUAUGCUAGAUCAACGCUUCUCAAUGGCGAAUCCCAAGUCAUUUUGUCUCUUUGGCUCGCCAACCUUUGACGCAGUAAAUUAACAAACCGACUGUGCAAUCCUUUCAAAACAUACAAAGCGGUCGCCUUUGCAUAUGCUGAAAAGCUUACUUCUUAAGGGCCAUGGACGGAAGCGUCAGCCCGUAGUGCGGAGAAACGAUGAAUACUUGGCGAGAAGGCUAAGUACGGGUUCUAGGCCUCAAAAACCCUUUUUUGGGGAAUAUUGACAACCUUCAGCUAGAUAGGUUUUAAUGGCUCAUGAUAAUGGUGGAAAAGGAAAUAAAUAUAAAAAUAGAAAAUAAAAUUUUAUUCAAAGAAAAUAUGAAGAAACAAAAGCCUAGACUUUUAGGGGGAGAGUGUUUAUAGAAAAAGAUGAACACCCCAAAUAGAGUCACUUCACCCCCUAUUUAUAGUGCUAGGGAGAUAAUCUAAUUUAACUUAAAUUCUAAAAAGAUAAAUACAUUUAAUUAAAGAUAAUUAAAAUAAAAUCCUAAAAUUAAAUAAUCCUAAUAAUUAUCUUAAUAAUAAUUAUUCUAAUAUAAAUAAAAUGGAGUCUUAUAAAAUAAAAUCUCUUCUUUUUGAGUUUUCAGUCCUUGUGUCAUCCAUGCUCGCACUUUUGGAACAAUCUUUUUCCUGUGUCGCAUAUCAGCCCAUUGUGUCUCCAAAUUCGCACUUUUGUCCCUUAAUUUUUCUUUUUGCCUCCAAAUCAGUCCUUUAAAGAUAAAAAGACAUAAAUAGCUAAAAUUAGUAUGAUCAAGCUCAGAAUAAAUAUAUAAUUAGCACAUAAAAACAUGACAUUCUAGAGUGUUAUCAGGCCAGCUUAUUUUGCAGAAUGGCUGAGCAAACUGCAUUCAUCUCCACAUGCGAUGCCUCAUCUAACUUCCGUUUAUUCGCUAAAAGCUCCUUUAAAAAUUUGACUGUGUUCAGCAUCUACGAAAAAGCUUCAAUAAACGGUAAGUUAAUAUGUAAUUUCUUUAAAAUUUUAAGGAAUUUACCGAAUUGUUCGUCUGAGUGGUCUUUCCUUGUCGUAUUUGGGUAUAGUACACGUGGUUUGUACUCUUUACUUACCUGUUUUUGCUCAUUAUGGUCCACCUUACCUCUACCUUUACUUACCACAAUUUCUUGCCUUAGUUCUGGUUGAGGUGCAACUAACCCUUCCUCAUCUUGAAUGGUAAUCGCAUUGAGCUAUUCCCUUGGAUUAGAUUUAGUGUUACUCAACAGGCUACCUUGUGGUCGUUCAGAUACCAAUUUAGCAAGCUGGCUUAUCUGAGUUUUGAGCCCUUGAAUCGACACUUGUUGAUUCUUAAGUGCUUUCUUGGUAUUCUAAAAACAAGUUUCUAACACUGAGAUGAAUUUUGUUAGCAUCUCCUCAAGGUUCAGCUUUUUCUCUUGUUGGUAAGGUGGUUGUUGGAAGCCUGGAGGUGGUGGGGGUCUCUGAUUUCCUUGGCCUCCCCAUGAAAAAUUUGGAUGGUUCCUCCAACCUGCAUUUUAAGUGUUACUAUAAGGAUUAUUUUAAGAUCGAGGAUUAUUACCCAUGUAAUUCAACUGCUCAUUUUCCAUACUGUGGCCAUAAGGUGGGUAUUCUGAAUUGCUUGAUCCACCUCUACUUGCUUCGCACUGCAUUACUAGGUGAACCUGUGAAUAACCAAAUAACCCGUCAAUUUUCUUAUUUAAUAGUUCUACCUGACUAGAGAGCAUCAUGACUAAAUCAACGUUAAAAACGUCAGUUGUUUUAGUCGGCUUUGUCCUCAUUACUUGCCACUGAUAAUUAUUCAGUGAGAUCUCUUCUAUAAAUUCAUAAGCAUCUUCAGAUGUCCUAUUAUUGAUAGUCCCACCAGCGGAUGCAUCGAUAAGUUGCCUUGUUGAGGGGUUUACACCGUUGUAAAACGUCUGAACUUGCUGCCAUAGAGGCAACCCAUGAUGAGGGCACCUUCUCAACAGAUCUUUGUAUCUCUCCCAUGCAUCAUAAAGCGUUUUUAGAUUCAUCUGCAUAAAAGAAGAGAUAUCACUACGUAAUUUAGUCAUUUUAGCCGACGGAAAAUAUUUUAAUAAGAAUUUUUUAUUGUCAUUUGUUCCCAAGUAGUGAUUGACACUCGUGGUAACGAGUUCAACCACUGUUUAGAUUUGUUCCUCAAUGAAAAGGGAAAUAACCGAAGACGAAUGGAAUCAUCAGAAAUGCCAUUAAUUUUAAAUGUGUCGCAAAACUCUAGAAAAUUUGCCAAGUGAUUGUUCCUCAUCCUGCAAACUAUCAAACUAAACAAAUUGUUGUAUCAUUUGAAUUGUGUUAGGUUUUAGUUCAAAAUUAUUUGCAGCAACAGCUGGCCUAACUAUACUUGACUCAGUUCCUCUUAAAGUAGGUUUAGCAUAAUCAUACAUAGUACGCGGAGUAGGAUUCUGAUUAGCAGCAAUCGCAAGAGGUAGCGGAUUUUCCUGAUUUUCAGUCAUCUCCUCAGUUGUGGUGGAAAUAUCGUCCUCUUGCUCUUUCUCUGUGUAUCUUAGGCUUUGCCUUAUUUCUCUUCGAUUUCUGUGAGCUGUGCGAUCGAUCUCACUAUCAAAAAGUAAUGGUCCUGACGGGUUUCUUCUAGUCAUGCACUAUAAAAACUUGCCAUAAGCGAAUAAACGAAAAAUAAGAAUAAGAAAAUAAAAUAAAAAUUCAAAUUGCAACAAAAGUAAAAUGGCUAAAGUAAUAAAAAUUGAGUGUUCCUAAUAUCUUCGUUCCCCGGCAACAGCGCCAAAAACUUGAUACGUGAUAUUCGCGACAGGUUUUAAAAAUUUAUAAUUAAUCAUUCUUGAAACUAACUAUUAUCACGAUGAAGCCAAAUGUACCUAUCGAACAGCAAUAUAGCUUUAGCAAGACCGGAUUGUCAAACCUAAAGGAACCAAGAGUAUUAGUAAUUGCUUUCUUUUUAUUAUCUAGCCUAAAAAUUAAGGGAUUUGUUUAUCUAACUAAUUAACUAAACUAAGGGUGCACAGAAAGAAAAUUGGGGAAAAGCUUUUGGGAAAACUCAAUUGAUUAAGACAAUACCCAAGGAAAAAUCCACCUAGACUUCACUUGUUAUUUGACUCUGAAUCAGACGAUUUAUUCAUUUGACUUGAUCCGUAGAAAUCCCUAAGUUAUAUUAUUAUCUCUCUCGAGACUGAUAACGUCUAACCCUAGGUUGAUUAAUUGAAAUCUCUUUCUAAUUAACACCCUAGUGUUGCAUUAACUCGAUCUAUGGACUCCCUUAUUAGGUUUCACCCUAAUCCGGCAAAAUCUUGUCACCCUAUCUCUAAGCGUGCAAUCAACUCCGCUUAAUUAUGAAAAAUUUACUCUUAGACAGGGACUUUUGCUCCUCUGAAUAAGGGCAUUAACUUGAAUCAAUAUCUUGGAAGAUUAAACCAAGAAUUAAGAACACAUAAUUAAGAAUAAGUCAAAUAUUUAUCAUACAAUUCAGAUAAUAAUAACAAGAUCCGUCUUAGGUUUCAUUCCCCUUAGGUAUUUAGGGGUUUUAGUUCAUAAUUAUGAAAGAAAACAUCUCAAAAGAAAAAUGAUAACAAAAUAUAAAGAAAACCCAAAACUCCUGAAGGAAAUUGAAGGAGAUCCUCAGUCUUGACGAAUAAUCCAGAUUUUGAGAUGGAUCAAUUGGCUUUGCUUGAGUAAUUCAUUGCCUCCUACUCCCUGUGUGUCUUCUAAGUGCCUCCCCAGGUGUUUAAAUAGGCUUUAGAAUGCCUAAAAGCCCUCAAGAGUGGCCUUUUUCGAAUAAUACUGAACUUGGGCUCGACAGGGACACGCUUGUGUGACACGCCCGUGUGCGAUUGCUUCAGACCAUGGUCAAGGCUGUUAAAUAGGCACGGGCGUAUGGUCUAUCUGUGUGAGGAAGUCCAGGCCUUGUUAAUUUCCCAUGUUGGUCUAUUUUCUUCGUUUUCGGCCCAUUUCUUAUGCUCACCUAAGUAUAAAACAUGAAAUUAAAGGAUUAGGAGUAUCGAAUUCACCAAAUCUAAUGAUAAUUCAUCCAAAAAUAUGCUAAGCAUGAGGUAAGAAUAUGUAUAAAUUAUGGUUUAUCAAUGGACUAUCACAGAAGGUGUCAUAGGUUUCUCCAACAUGGGCUUAUACAUAAUUUCAUGUAUUGUGAUCUGCCAUUUCAAAUUAUACAUUAUCGAAGGCUACACCAUAAGCAUAUAUACAGACAUAUCUUGCAAUGGGUCUUAGCCAUAUAGCUUACACACACAUUCAUGUAUUGUAAUCUGCCAAUCCAAUCUUCAUCUUAUUAGAGGCUACACCAUGAGUGUUUCCAAAUCAAAGUAAGAUGUCAUGGGUCUCAACCUUAUAGUUUAUUCUUGUUUUCGUAUCGUGAUCUGCCAGUCUAGUUAGCAAUAUAACUGCCCUACCAGAGGCAUCAUAGAGGAAAAUUUGCUCAGCAUUUACUUCCCUAGAUGAUCACCUUUUUACUAGCUCAUACAUCUCCUACAUCAGACCUUACCUGCAUGCUUACCAAACAUUAUUCUUUUUAAUAGAAUUUAUACAUAUCAUCGUAGCACAUCUUUCAUCUUUGCUAAACUCAUAUUUAUACUAAUUUCUGUAGACAUCAUCAUCACAUAUAUAUAUGCUUCUUGUUUGAACAGUUCAUAUCAAAAAGUCAGGAUAGAGACCCACUUAACUCUCAUCUAUUGCAGUUCAAAGUUCUGGACUCAACCACCCUUCUCAAACCAACAGUAAAAACUGCUUACAAAACAUAGAAUCACCAUUAAAACUCAUUUACAUACAAAUUACCAUCAUCUUAAUCACUUUUCCGCUGCUAAUUAAUAAAUAAAUGUUGAGUAGUAAAUAAAUAAAAAAUUAACUAAGUUUUCAAAAAAAAAAAGUCACUGUGAUGAGAAGAAUAAGUUUUCAAAAACAAAAGUCACCGUGAUGAGAAGAAUGUCAAAAUUAAUUGGUUUUUGUUAACUCAUAUGUUUUUCUAAAAAUAGGUUAAGUUUUCUUCUGAAAUAAACAAAUAUUUUGAAAUGAUUGUUUUAUAAACUCCAAUCAUAGGCCAUCUUAGUGGUCGAUGUAAUCUCCCAAAUUCGGUUCUAACAUCUAGGUUGGGUUGGAGAGGUUACAAUAUAUAUAGAAGGAUUCAUCAAUAAUGGAAACUUGAAUACAAGCAAAGAAAGAAAUCAAUCAAUGUGAAUUACUAACAAGUUCAAAAGCAUAUAUUUGGAUUAUAUUUUGUAAAGUACAAGAAUGUCAAGGAAUUAGACAUUUUGUUUUGAUAGUGAUUAUAUUUUAUAUAUAUUUACUUUUAUGCACUUUCAUAUUGAGUUGAUCAACAGUUUUGAAACUUUAUAGAAAACUUCAAGGUAUCACUUGUUGCGUAAGUGAUAUUUUACUAAGGGUGCAUAAUUGGAGGCCUCCUAGAUAUGUGAAAAUAAUGUUUAAAAAUCCAUCAAAUAGUAAAAACAUAAAUGAAAUAGCAUAUUGAUAUAUAUGGUAUCUUGAGUGUUGAAUUAAACAUUCUUUAGUAAAAGAAUGUACAUUUUGCACAUUGUGGGUGUGUUGGUUUCUUAUAUAUCAAUUAAGCACAAAUUAAAGAAAAAUAAUAUAUAUCACCAUAGUGUUGUAAUAUUUUGUAAAAUUUGUAAAAUUAUAUAAGCAAAAAAGUUUACCUAUCUCGUUAAAUAAAACUCAUUGAGUUGGUUCUUAAUAUUGAAGAAUUAGAGUGGUUGACUUCUUUAUUCAUUUUAUCCAACUACAAGUUGGAUUAAAGUUGUGGAAAUAGAAUGGUUGAAAAUUUGUGUUAAUGAGAAUUAAAGUUGUGGCCACAACUGAUGCCGACUAUUUUCUAGAAACAGGGACUGAUGUCCAAAACAUGUAGUAAAAUAAAAUUUUAGACAUGUUAGCAUAUGAAUUUAUUAUAUUAUAGAUUCAAUGUAACACCCCUAUCCUAUCUCUGUUGCUGGAUUAGGAUUUCAGACUAUUACUAAGAAAAAUAGAACAUUUAACUUUCCAACAGAAACAAUUAUACAAUUAAAUACCAACAUAUAUCAAUUAAAUCUAAUCAUGGCAAAUAUUACACUUAUAGACCUUGAAUCGAGCCUAUGGAGCCCUAGAAAAAAUUUAGGAACAAUUUGGGAUCAAAUCGAAACAAAUCAAAACAUUUUGAAAAAAAUAUAAAAAUUUGGGAAAACAGGGGUCACACGGUUGUAUGGCCAAGUCGUGUGACAAAGCCUACACCGCGUAAACAUUAGAAGUCAAAACACUCAACUGUGUCCCAGCCUGUGUGUCUACUCAUGUGUAUAAUCGAAAUAGGGUCACACAGCUGUGCUGCAGACUGUAAACCGUGUGUGUAUUCGAAGUUAGGUCACACGACCAUGUGACCGACCGUGCCACAAACUGUUUUGAGACACACGGUCGUGUCACAGACCAUGUGAAAUAUGCACCUAAAAUAAUAAAUAUACACGACCAUGUGUGGUGACUAUGUGUGGCACAUGGUCGUGUGGUAGCUUGUGUCUCAGGCUGUGUGCUCCAUUUUUAACCCCUAAAUUAAGUUAAUCAAGCAUCAUUUCUUGCACAGCAAGACAUACCAUAUCUAACUAAUUUUACAUGGUAAAAAUCACAUUCAGAUCACCAAAUACAUACCAAAAUUUCAUUCAUCCUAUGUCUAACCAAUAUACCAUCAAAAGGCAUCUCAAUCCAUACAUUCAUUCAACUCAAGAACAAAGUUACAAUAAAGGAACAAGUUUUAUCAUUAGUUAACCAUUCAUGCCUAAAACCACCAAUCUAAUUGACGAAAAUAUGGGCAUACUCAACAAGCAACCAUUUCAAAACAUCAUCACCAAAUCUUUAUAUACCAUUUAGGAUCAACUUAAUUAUAUCCAACACAAGUACACAUCCAAAACAAAGCACAUCACUAGAAAUACCAAAAUAACUUAACGAUUUACACAUCAACAAUAAGACACCACAUCCCAAAAUGAAAUACAAAAGCUACCGAGAUGGCUGGAUAGUGUGUGCUCCAAAACAAUUCGUCUAGUCAGUCCAUAAAACGCCAACUCAACCAAUAUAGAUAAACAAAAAAGAUAAGUUCUAAUUCUUGAUAUUCAAAUGCAAGAUCACACCACAUUAGUAUAUAUUUAUUUACAUCAUAAAUGAUACCUUCCAAAAGUCAUAACCAAUUCAUCAUCCAAAAUUUCUCAAUACAACCAUUAACAUUUAUAAAACAAAAACUUCAUAGAAACAUUUAUCAUUUAGUAGUAAUAUAACUAUCCAACAAAAUUGAACAAAUAAAUGAGUUUUAAGUCAUUUGAUGCAUAUCCCGCUGAACUAUAGUAACUAGACUCGGAUACUCAAUGAUGCAUAACAGAGGCACCAAAGUGCAAACAGAGGAAGGAAUAUGCAAUCAAAGGCAUUGAAGUGCAAACAAAUGCACCAAAGUGCAAACCCGUACAAGCGCACAUUAAAACCCUAUUGGCAUACUAAUCGUAUCCUAAUCAUUUACUAUGUUCAAUGGGGCAUUAAGAAUGGGGCAUUAUACUUAAAAUCGCAAUACCAAUAAAUCCAUCAUUUAGAGGCACUUCUUAUUUCCGUACACAUAAUAACAAUAAUUACCAUCAUCAAACAUUCAUUUUAUAUUUGUACUUAAUUACAAAUUUUAAUAAUAUAUAAGUAACUAAUGAAAUUUCCCAUAUAUACCAUUAACUAGAAAAAAAUAAUAUAAUCAUAAAGAGAUACACAUAUACAUAUUAUUACAUUAUGAACUUACCUGCAAUCCACUUCCAAAUAAUAUACAGGGACUACUCCGCAAUUUUUCUCUUUCCUCGAUUAUUGUCUUUUUGACUCGGUUCUUGAUCUAUAUAAUAAUUAAAUUUAAUUUAUUAAAUUUACAUAAUUUAAAAAUCAAUUCAAUGCAUGACACCCUUAUGUUUUCAUUAUUUUCACAUUUUCCUUAAACUUUUACAUUUCUCACAAUUUAGUCCCUAAACCCGAAAUUCCAAAAUUUAACAAAAUUUUACAAUUUUCCAUGCUAGCCGAACUUCUUUCUAAACUAGUACAAUCCCCAAUUAUUUACAAUUCACAAAAUUUCUAUGCAAAUUUUAAUUAUUUACACAUUGAUCAUUAAACUCAAAAUUAACACAAAUUCUUUUACAAAAAUAUCCUAAUCAACAUUCAAAUAUAUACAACUACCAUUAAAAAUCAUGAACACCAAAAUUCCAUUACUAACCAAUCCCUAAAACUUCAACAUUUUUAUAAUUUCAUCCUCAGGUUUAAUAGUUUAAGCUACAACGAGUUCAAAAAAUAUAAAAAUUAUUAAAUAUGUGAGAGAGAAACACUUACAUGCACCAAUUUGCUAACCGAAACUUUAAGCUCAAAAAAUGGAGUUUCUUUUUUUCUUUUUCUUUUUUGGUAGGAGAGAGUUGAGAAGAUGAUGAUACCAUAUUUUAUCUUUUGUUUCUUUUCUUUAAUUAAACUAAUUACCAAAUUAACCUUUUAAUCUGAACUAAAUUAUUAACAUAACAUGACCAUAAUUUUCCAUUAACUAACCAUAAGGUUUAUCUAUCAAUCAAGUCCAUUAUUUUAGUUUUUCUUUAAAAAUCAAGCACAUUUAACUAAUAAAAGCUACUUUAGCAUAUUUUACAAUUUAGUCUUUUUUACUAAAUUAACUAACUAGACAUUAAAAUUUCUUAUCCAAAUUUUAAUACGACUCAAAUAUAACUCUAUAAACAUAAAAUAAACAUAAAAUACUAACUCACUUGUUGGAAUUAUGGUCCUGAAAUAACCAUUUUCGAUACUACUGAAAAAUGGGAUAUUACAUUCAAUCUCUAAUUUAUGCUAAUGAAUGUGAGAGAAUAAUUUUCUUUGUAUAGUAAUACUACAACUAGAAUGUGUUUCGAUCCUAUUCUUAGAAACUGAUAGUAGAAACCCAACUUUUAAUUAGAAACCUCUUGUUUUAAAGUUCAAUGGGUAAAAGCAAGUUAUCGUUAUAUGUCUGUGAUACACUAGUAAAACUCAUUAUAGAAAAAAAAAGUUUAAUGGAAACUAGUGUUAUCCAUUGCGUAUAGAGGAUGAAUUUGAAUACUAUUAAUGAAGUUCAUUGUUUAUUGUUUAAAUGUCUAAAGCAAGGGAAACAUUAAAAGAACUCUACCUAUAUAAACAUAAGAAGUGAUGCCACUUCAACAAGUAAAGGUAGGGUCUCUCUUGUAAAUGUUUAUUAUGAACAAGAUAAGCACAUGAUCAUUUUAGUGCUAAAAGUGAACAACCUCUGAUAGAAAUAUAAAUGAAUAUUAUGUGUAGUGUAUUUCAACUUCUAAUACUAGGAGUUGUGGUUCAAUCUUCGGACACCAACGACUUAUUAGAACUUUGAAAAGCAUCCGCUAAUUGAUGGUUCAUAUUGAGAGAUAUCAUCUUAUAUGCAUAAUAUUUGUUGGAGUGAAUGGCUAUAAAGUAUGGUACCAACAUUUAAACUAAGGGUGAUUGUUAGUAGUUUAUAAUGUUGGCAGUAAAAAUAUUUUAUUAUGUAGAAAAGUCUAAUAACUUAUAAUUAUUGGCCAAAUAAUUGUGUUGUAAAGAGAAUUUUUGUAUGUAAAGUUGUCUUAUAAACUUUAUGUAAAGUUGUGUUGUAAAACAACACAAUUAUAUGAAAAGGUAUCUUAUUAAAAGAUAUAUUCAUAUUAAAGGGUAUCUCAUAAAAGAUACAUCUAUUGGAUGUCUAUAUAAAAGACUUUUCUAUUAGUCAUUUAAAUUGUUUUACUUGGAGUGUUGAGGCCUUUAUUGUAUCUUGAAGGUAUUUUAAAAUCUUAAAGAAAGUGCUCUACAUGCCUCAAAGUCGUUAUAUUUUAUAACAUUAUUUUAUUUUUCUAACUUCUAUUUUCCUAUUAUUUAUUUUUCUAACAGCCAGAAUAUAGAAAAAUUAUUAUGUUUCUAACUAUAUAUUAAAUACGAGUACUACUUGGAAGCCAGCACCCACAAACAUGAUAAAAGUUAAUUUUGAUGAGAGUUUUGACGUGGAAGCAAGAAAUGAGGAAGAGGGUAGUUAUGCAGCAUUGUGAUGGUUUUUUAGUCCGACUACGCAACCAUCCAAUUUAGGGUGCGUUCUACAUUAAGGUGAAAAAGCACUUAAAAAGAACAUUUGGUUUUUACACUUAAAAGUGUGAUGGAAAAAUACUUUUUCAUUCAAAUACAAAAAUUAAGAUAUAAAUGCUUUUGACUUUUAGCUUUUACAUUAGAAUGUGAAAAUUAUCAAAUACUAUUAUUUAUAUUAACUAUUUAAAGUGUAUAUAAAAAUUAGAUUAAUUUAUAUUUUAUAUAUCAUUAUAUUAAAUUAUUUAAAUAUUAUUUAUUAUUAUAUCUUUUAAUAAUUUAUAUAUCAUCUAUUUUACAAAUAAUUUAUAUUAAUUACUUCAAAAAUAUUUGGAACUUAUAUUUCAUGUACCAUUAUAUUAAAUUAUUUAAAUAUUACAUAACUUAAAAUGUCCUUUUCUUUAGACAUGAUAGACUUUUAACGGGAAUUUUUUGUAGUAACGGAGAACACCAAAAACUAAUGAGUACAUUUUUUCAUAGCACUUUUCUACCACUUUUCAACUACAACGGUAAUGGAGAACUAAUCCUUACUAAAGUUACCGAAGCACUAGCUUCCACUGUAGCCAUUGAAAUGGGGCUCCAAUUGGGAUUGCAACACAUUAUUAUUAAAAGAGAUGCUCUCUAAGUGGUUUCGAAGUUGAAGGAAGACAAAGAAGACCUACCAACAAUCGGACCUUGAUAGCAAAGAGUUGAAUACUUGCUAAACAGGUUCAGCAAUGUAGGUUUCAACAAAGAAAGAGGCAUGCUAAUGAGGUGGCACAUCAUCUGGCCAAACAGGGUGCAAUGCCCAAUUUCUGCCCGGGCCUAAUCAAAACAGCCCAAAGCAGAAAGCCCAAUUUUUCUAGACCUAGCCCACAACUAUUUUCAGCACCACCAUGCACCCAUUUUCUCCACCACUCUUCCACUCCAGAACACCCACGAACGGUUUCCCUCCAUGCCAUACAUACCUGCAAAAUAGAUUAAUGACUCAUAGCAGUUGACAGUAGAAAGAAAUAACAACAGGAAACGGUUUUGUACUUGGCUAUAAAGCCUUUGAAUUUUUCAUUGUUUGGUUUUUUUUUCUUUCUUUUUUUUUUCAGAGAGAUUGUACACGAAAUACAUACAAAAAUCAAUAGAAAGCAAUUCAAAGGUGAUUUAUCGCUAUUUAUUGUGUUUUUUUUUUCAAUUGGGUUUACAUACAAGUAUAAAAUAUAAGAGAGAACGAGAGGCUUACCGGAGUUAUAUCGCAUUCACGCCGUCGGUAGGACUAGCUCCGUUGGUCACGAACAGAUUUUGGGAGUGGUUGGGGGCUUGAAAGGAGCCUUUCGGCUGGAGAAUAAAGGGAGAGUGAGGGAGAUGAUAUAAUAUCCAAGGCAUUUAGGGUUUUUUUUUUUAAAUAAAAGUUAAAAAGUUUUCUUUUAAGCACAAUUUUUAAAGCGGGUUUUAGGUGAUAAGAAUGAAACAGCAUGGGGAAGGGAAAGGAAUAGCGUGUUUAACUUGGUCCACGUGCAUUUACCCCUUAAAUGGGUAAUUUUCGUUAUCAGUCCUCCUUACUUGCGUCACCCUUUAUUUGAUCCUAUUCUGUUUCUUUUAUUUUUGCCUUGAAUUUUGCGCACCGUUCCAAUUUAGUCCGAGCAUGAGUGUUGCUUUUUUGGGGUUGGGAACAUUUUCAAUUUUAGCCCUUAUACAUUCACGCGCAUUGCGCUUUGGUCCCUAUUUCAAUUUCAAUGGUUUUUUUAUUUGUUAAUUGUCCCUUUAAUUUUGCUUUUCUUCCAAUUAAGUUUUUAUUUAUUUUUUCCAUAAAAUAAGAAUAUAUUAUUUUAACAUAUAGUUUUGUUCAACAAAAUUCAUAUAUAUUUUUGUAUAUAUUAUUUUAACAAAAUAAGAAUAUAUUGUUUUCUUCAUAUGCAUAUUUAUUUGUUUUUUCUUCCAAAAUAAUUUCAUAUAUCAUUUUGUAUUUAUAUACUUUACUUAUAUUAAGUUUGCUUUAUAUCAUGUAUAUACGUAACUUAUACUAAGUUAUCUUUACUCUAAGUGUACAUUAUUGACUUCCUUUUAUUUUAUGUAAAUAUUUCCUUUUAUUUUAUUUUUUUAUGUAUAUUAUUGAUUUUAUGUUAUUUUAUGCUUGUUUAUUUUCUUCUAAGGACCCUAUUUUAAAUGGUAUAUUUUAUUUAUUUUCGUAUGCUAGUACCUUUGUUUUUUUUAUGUAUAAAUUUUCAUUUCAAGUAUUAUUUAUUUAGAUUGACAAAUACUAUGCUAUGUAUUACUUUUUUUAUAUAUAUACAUUAUGUGUCUUGAAAUAUCGUUUAUAUAUUAUUAUGUCGUACAUUAUUUUUAUUUUUAUUAUUUUUUGACCUAUUCCAGACUGUCAUAUAUGUUACCUUAAGAUUUUUAUACAUUUGUUUGAUUGCAUACUAACGAUUCCAAAUUGCAUUUCUUCUAUAUUAUCUAUAUUAUUUGUUAAAACUUGCCACAUACUUUUAUCUCAUGUACAAAACUAAGCUUGUACACAUGUUAUUGCAUCAUGAUCUUUAAAUUCCAACUCUUUGCCCAACAUCAAUCGUUUUUUAUCCCCAAGCAAACCAAACAAGUAUUUUUAAUUCGGUUUUUAUAACUGUUAAUUUAAAAAUUUCCCAAAACAAAGGCAAUGUUUGAUGUUUGAAAUUUUGGAAAUCGUGCCCUAACGUACUGGGUUUCGAUUUUUCGUUUAUCCAAAAUAAUCAAGUAUCCCCUUUAAAGUUUCGUAUGUGUUUUCUAAACUUCAAAACAAGGCAAUGUUCUAUGUUUUGGAAAUCCGAGAAAUCGUGCCCUAACGUGUUGGAUUUCAAUUUUUCGUUGGACCAAAUGAUCGAGUAUCCUUUUGAAAUUUCAAAUAUAUGAGCUUUUGGAAAUUAAGACUCGGUUGUGGUUUCGAGGGUUUAGAAAGUUAUGUCUUAACGUGCUGGAUGUGAUAUUUUAUUCCUUCAUAACAAAAGAAUUCUUAAUGACCAAUUUGAGUUAUUCAAAUAUUUUAAAAGAAAUAGUAUUUCAAAAUAUCUUUUAAAUUUUAGACAUAAGGACAUUGAUUAAUCAAUUAGGUACCAAUUUUGGGCGUCACGAGGGUGCUAGCCCUUCCUCGUGCGUAACCGACUCCCGAACCCUUUUUUCUCGACUUACGUAGACCUGAAAUUAUUGUUUUAAUAAAUCAAAAUGUUUUAUUAAAAUGAUCAAUUUCAAGGUGAUCCGAUCCCACCUCAGAAGGGAUCGGUGGCGACUCCAAACUUUGAUUUUUCAAAGUCGAUCCCCGUUUUUUUCAAACUUUUAGAAAAUGGUUUCGACACAAGGCCUUAAUUGUUUUCCAUCUUUUGUUCAUAUGUUUGUUUUGAAAAGGUAAAACAAAUCCUCACCUAUUGAUGUUAGAACGGUUGAAUUGCUAAAAGCAUGCUGCGUGCAUAACCAUGCUUUAGGUUAGGCUUCAAAUCAAAUAAAUUUUAAAUUAUUUUUAUUUGAAUUUAAUUAUAAAAAUAUAUUAAUAUCAAUAUAAAAUUAUAUACAAUUUUAAGAUAUUUUAUUUUUCAAUAAUAAAACGAAUCAUCUACCAACCCUAAUUCUUCAGUUUUCUUUUUAAUUAGAUGAUAACUCAAGCCAAGCUAACCAAUAAACACCCAAAAUCUACCAUCAUUUUCAUUUUUUUUUCUUUUGUCACAAAGUAGACAGAAGAUUCGGUUUGGAUAAGCUCUACGUUAUUAAGUCAAAAGCUGAAGUAAUUUUAAUCAUAAAUUGUUUUAUUUGUUUAUAAUGCAAAACAAUGACCCAAUUAAUACAAUAAAGCUUUAACUUUGUGGGAAUUUUCAGUCCAAAAAAAAAAAAACAAUUUGUGGAAAUUUUAGAGCAGUUGACCAUUUCUUCCGAAUUAGUUUUCUCACUUCUUGUCCAUAUUCCAUGUAUAUUAUUUCAAGAAAUUAGGUUUAGAAAAUUGCAUAAUUCAACCAUUGAACUAAUAAAUAUUAAAGAAAAAUUGGGUGGCAAAAAUAUCUUAUUAAAAGCGAAUCAUAUACUAUUAAUAGAUUUUAUGAUUAAAUUAGUUUCACGUGUUAACGGGAUAUUAACUUGAUUUAGUAAAUUAUAAAAAUGUCUUUUAAUGUUUAAAAUAAAUUAUAUUAUUUGAAGAUAUUUUAAUUUUUUUAUUAAAAAAGGAUGAUGUCUCAAAUUAACUCACAAUCUAAUUUAAUUUUUUAUUUUAAUAUCGUAAAUGUUUCAUGUUUUAUUAUUAAUUUGUUUCAAAUUAUACAUUUCAUUAUUUAUUUUAUGUUAUUUUUAAACAUAUUUGUGUUCUAAAUACCAAAUUUUCACUUAAGGGUAUCAGAGACGAAUCUAGAGAGGCUAGUAGGGGCCCCGGUCUCCUUAAAAUGAAAAUUAUUAUUUAAGCCCUUUAGAAAAUUUUAAAAUUUUAAAUUAGUAAAUGUAAAAUUGCACUUUGACCCCCUAAAAUUAUAAAAAUUUAAUUUAAUCUUUUAAAAAUUAUAAAGAUAUAAACUAGUAAAAAUUAAAAUUUCAUUUCGAUCCUCCCUAAAACAUAUUUUUGGCUUCACCUAAAGGGUAUGACUAGUAUGAAUAAUUUUCUUUGGAAGUCUUAAACAAACAGGAGUUAAGUAAAAAGGAGUUUUCAUACAUACAUAUUCGGCGUUGAUGUUUCCCUUUCGAAAAUUUAAAUUAAGACAUAGGAAAAGAAACUAAAAUUGAGCUUAAUUUAUGCAGUUGGGUUCAAAAUUUAAUAUUUAAAUAUAAAAAUUCUAAUAAUUCGAUCUGGUCCGUUUCAUCUAGCAGACUAAUAAUAAAUCUUAAAACAUAUUAUAUUUUAAUUUUAAUAAAACCAAAACUGAUACAUUUGACCUACAUCUACAUGUGAUCUAUGCUUAAUUAAAUUAGUCUAAAUUAGACGAGAUCUUGAUUAGGAGUCAUUUAUUUAUAUUAUAAGUCCCUGAAACAUGCAAAACUUACAUUUAAAAAUUAAUAUUUUUACGUUGUUGUUAGAAUAUAGGGUUUGUUAAUGUUUUCGUGUGAAGUCAGCUGUUGACAUUACCAACCAGAUAAUGAAAAGGGAACAUGGCAAUUAUUCCAUCCUAAUUGUCACACACACACACACACCUAAUUAAGUUAAUCCAAAAAUUACCUAACGUUUAGCAUUUCAAUGGUAGAGUCAGCUCUUUCUUCUAGUCUAUCAAAAAAAAAAAAUCAAUUUAACCCCUAACUCUUGGAUGGAAAAGUUUUUGCUAUGAACUUGUUGAAGUGAAUCUAAUGUGAUAUAAACACAUCACAAUCCAUGUGUGUAAUUAAAAAUAAUAGAGAGAGAUUGAAUAAUUUAAAGGGAAAAAAAAAGAAUUUACUCCCUCCACUAACAGGUAACUCUUGCAGCUUGAAUCUACAACGUAUGUAUGAAAGUGAACACCUUUAAUUAAUGAAUAAAUACUAAAGUUCUAGGUUUAGAAUUAAUUAAAUAUCAAUACAAAAAGUUAAUUACUUUUUGAAAUAAGGAUAAAUCGGUUUUUGAGGUUUGAUAAUUUUUCACAUAUCGAGGUUUGAAUUUUUUUAUCUUAAGUUCUAAACUUGACAAUAGUUCUCAAGAUGUGAAGGUUUUUUUUUUAUCCAAAUUAGGCUAUGAACUUAGAUAGAAAUCUUAAAAUUCAACCCUAAUGUAGGUAUAAUUGUCAAGUUAAAAAAAAUUCAAAUCUUAAUAGAAGAAUAAUCUACUAAUUGGUAACCCUAAUAUAAAAACAAUUGUUAAGUUGAAAACUUAAUUUUUUUUAAAAAUUCAAACCCUUAUUAACUUUAGGAUUUAACCCUUUGAAAUAUUGCGUUAAUUAAUAAGUGUAAGAAUUAUUUUGUGUUAAUGAUUAAAUAAAUAUUUAAGUGGAGAUCAAGUUUUACCUCAUUUGUCAAUUGUCAGGUGAAGAAUAUAUACCCUAAAGGCCUAUCAAAAACGGACCUAUCUCUAUAUAUCUUUACUAAUUUACUAUUCAUUUUUAAUGAAAAGCAAUAAAUUAAUGAAAACGCUAUAAAACGAAAACUACAUGAAUAAAUUAUAUGUGUAAAAUUGAAAUAUUUCGUGACGACAUUAUUGAAAAAAAUAAUCAUUAACCUUAAAUAUAAACAAUUAUGACAUUUCUAUAAAAUAUCAUUUAAUAUAUUGCAUCAAAGUUUUAAAAAAUGUUAUGUGUAUACUUUUACCUCGUAUAAAAAAGUCUUUCAUUUCUCAAUUCUUAUGGCAUAGUAAAUUUAUUAUUAAUUUUUAAAAAAAAUGGUUAUUAUUUGUGUAUUAAAUAAUUAUUGGGAUAAAUUUUAAAGUUGUACAUGGAUUUUGGUUACAUGUUAAUUAUAAACAUUAACUUUGAUUUUAUAUAAUUUUAUAUAUGAAAUUUUAAUUUGAUCCAAUUCUCAUAAAUUAUUAACAUAAUUAUUGAUAUAAUAUCAUUUUAUGUUUAUAUGCUAUAUACAGAAAUAAUUAUAUUUAUUCAAUAUAAAAAUUAAUUGAUGUAUUUAUUUCUUUAAACGUAUAUGAUUGAAUCAAAAUUAAAACAUCAUGUAUACAUUUGAACCAUAACUAAAAUUUUACAUAUAUAAUUAUACAAAAUUACAAUUCAUAUACGUAAUAAACUAAAAUUCAAUUUUUUUAUAAAAUUAACCUAAAAAAUUUAAUUAAUUACAUAAAUGACCCUUUUUUUUAUUAAACACGUAAAUGACCUAAAAUCUACCGUGAAAAUUGGUGGAAGCAAAGAGUUUGGCACCACCAACAUGCCACGUCAGCAACCAAGAUAAAAAAAAUCAACUUUUUGGUAGAGCCAUGCAUAAUAGUGCUACUUGUAUAAAUAUCAGGAAAAUACUAUAAUUUCUAAAAAAUAAGGGACUUUAAUAAAAAAAAAUUCUAUUUUCUGGUGGAGCCAAAUAAAUUGGCGCCACCAGUUUCCAAUGUGAUUUUUUUUAAAGUUUUCUAAAAUUUUAAAUAUAUUAAAAAAUGUUAAGUAUAAUUAAUUUUAAAAGUUUAAUAUAUUUAAAAAUUUAAUAUACUUAAUAUAUAUUUUUAAUAGGUAAAGAAAAAAAUGAUUUUUUAAUAUAUUUAAAAUUUUAAAAAACUUAAAAAAUUUAAAUACUUUAAAAAAUAUUAAGUAUAACUAAUUUUAAAAUUUUAAUAUAUUUAAUAUAUUUUUAAAAUAUUUUUAAAAUUUUUAAUAUAUUUAAAUUUUUUAAAGUUUUUUAAAAUUUUAAAUAUAUUAAAAAAAAUUUCCUCAUUACCUAUUAAAAAUAUAUUAAAUAUAUUAAAAUUUUAACAUAUAUUUUUAAAAUAUAUAUUAAAUAUAUUAAAAUUUUAAAAUUAGUUAUACUUAACAUUUUUUUAAUAUAUUUAAUUUUUUACUAUUUUUUAAAAAUUUUAAAUAUAUUAAGAAAAUAUUUUUUAUAUUUACCUAUUAAAAAUAUAUUUUAAGUAUAUUAAAUUUUUAAAUAUAUUAAACUUUUAAAAAUAAUUAUACUUAACAUUUUUUAAUAUAUUUAAAAUUUUAGAAAACUUUAAAAAAAAUUACAUUUGAAACUGAUUGGCUCCACCAGAAAAUAGAAAAUUUUUAUUAAAGUCCCCCCAUUUUUUAGAAAUUAUAAUAUUUUUUUGAUAUUUAUACAAGUGGCGCCAUUCUACAUGGCUCUAUCAAAAAGUUGAUUUUUUUUAUCCUGGUUGCUGACGUGGCAUAUUGGUGGAGCUAAACUCUUUACCUCCACCAAUUUUCACAGAAAAUUUUAAGUUAUUUAUGUGUUUAAUCAAAAAAAUAGAUCAUUUAUAUAAUUAAUUAAAUUUUUUAAAUUAAUUUUAUAAAAAAAACCCUAAAAUUCAUAUAUAUAACUGUAAGAUUUAUGUCCACAAUUAUCUAAAGCUAAUCGGUGAUAAUUACUAUGGAAAUUCAAUGUACUUAACUAAUUGAUUGAUAGGAACAAGCAUGAUGAAAUCCAUGAUUGGGAAGAGAGAGAAUUCAAAAACUGAACGCCCCAUUAAUCCAUGCGAAUAAACUUUUUCGGUAUACAUCAUAAUUCAUUUAAUUUUAUCAUUAUCUCUAUGCUAUAAUUAUGUUUAAACUAAAAUACUUGAGACAUUAAUAGUUUGUGUUAUAUAAAUUAUGAUAUCCAUAUAUCCAUAUUAUAUAUAUAUUUUUAUAUUAUGAAUGCAUUUAAAAAAAAAUUAUGAAAAAUGUAGAGUCCGCAAAUAAAAAAUGGCUUACAAAUUAACAGAAAACCAAUUUUAUUUCUUGUAAAUUGAUUUACCAUAUUAAAAAGUGUAAAUCUUUUUUUAAAUUUAUUUACGAGUAAUUUUAUUUUUAUAAAAAUUAAUUUUAGCCAAGCCUAAUAUUAUUUUAUUAAUAAUAUUAUUUUUAUUUUUAUUUUUAAACAAUUUAAAAUUAUUAAUAUCAAAUAUUAUAAUGUUGAAUCCUAGUAACAUACAUAUUAAAUUAUUUAUAUUAUGUUAUAUUACAAUUUUAUUUUAAUAAUAAAUUUUAACAACAAUAAUUUUAAAUUUUAAAUCGUAUUUUUAAUAUAUUAUUGAAAAAUAUUUAUAUUAAUAUUUUAAUAAUAAAUAUAUAUUAAAAUUUAUAAAUAUUUAAUAAUAAAUUUUUUAUAGUAUAAAAUAUGAAUAUUUUAAUUAUAUAGAUAUGAGUAUUUGUUUAAAUCAUGCUUAAGUUCAUUUAUCUCCCAACUCUAAUGUGUCAUUAUACACUGUCAUAUAUAUAAUAUAUGUAAUUUAAGCAUUAUUUAUUAUUAAAUUUAUAUAUGAUAUUAAUUAUAAUAAAAUAUUAUCUUAUUAUAAAAGAAAUUCCAAUUGUCAAAAAGAAAUGUUACUCUAAUAUUUUGUAAUAAGUAUAUUUAUAUUGUAUUUGUUUCACUAAUAACAAAUUUAAAAUGAUUUUAGAAAAAAAUAUCAAAAAAUAAAAAAUAUUUUAAUCAAAAUAAUUCAAAUAAAAAAAACUAAACUUUUCCAUGAAAUCAAUCCAAUUUUAAGAAAACAUUAAAAUUGUUUUAGGUGAAACAAAAGGAACCUAUAUUUUAUAUAGUAUUUGAAAAGUUGUUGUAUCUAGAAUUAUUAUCUUUAAUUUUUUUUAGGUCUAUUUCUAAUUUUCAAAAAUUGAGAAGUUAAUUUCUCUAUUUUACUUUAUCAGUCCGUGCUUAUUUUUUAUUAAUUUGUUGUGUAUAAAUGGUUAAACUAUUGAUUUUUGUUAAUUACUAGCAUGUAAAUUGUUAAACUACUUGUUCCCAAGUCAACAGUAAAGCUUAAUAGUAUUAUCAAUUUGGAAUAAUUUCUGAGAUUUUUCUUUUAUUUUGCGUGAUUAAGAUAUUUUUCAUGUACGGUUUAAGGUUUAUGAAGACUAAUCCUUUCGAGUUUAUAACUACCCUUUUUAAUAAUGUCGUCUUUAAAAUUCGAGUUCUCUUUCUUGUAAGUACAAUAUGCCUUACAUUUAUAACUAAUACUUCUUAUUUUUGUAAAAUAUAAGAAUCAAAUUAUGUAGUAAGAUUAAUUUCUAGAUUUUUUAAAUUUAAAAUUUAACAUUUAAAAUAUUAUCAAUCACAUCACACACAAAACCAAAGAGCAAGAGAAUCUAAAAAACACGUGGACCAUUAAUUUAGGAAUGGACAGAAACUCAUGCAAAAUGGUUGGAAAACACGUACAGGAUUAUAUAUACUAAUCAUUUUUAUUAUUAAGCAGAAUUGGAAAUAAAUAAAUACGGGCGAAACCACUGAAUAAUACAGCAUUGAAAUGCAAUUUGUCUACAUCAUUAUUGUUCUUCACUUCAAACGCGGAGACUAGUCUAGGGUCCCAAUCUUUUGCUUUAUCUCUCUAGAUAUAUCCUUUUCAAACUAUCUUUUUGUAGCUUUAUUUGCAUCACAGCAUUAUCUUUUCCUGCAAACAACUGUUUAAAGAUUAAAACAUGCAAAACAUUCUGAAAUAAUGCACCCUGACCAGAUGACAAAAAAAAAAGAGGAUUCUAAUGUAUCUUACCUUGGAUUGGAGCACGGUCAAAGCCGUGGCUUAGUAGUGGUGAGGAGGAGGGGGUGAAGCGUAGACAUAAUGGGGUGGGGGUGGAGGAGGAGACUUGUAUUUGUAAACUGGAGGAGGAGGUGGUGGAGACUUGUACUUGUAAGGGUGCUUGGGGGGUGAUGGUGGGGGUGGUGGGGGUGACUUGUACUUGUAGGGGUGCUUGGGUGGUGACGGUGGGGGUGGGGACUUGUACUUGUAAGGGUGCUUGGGGGGUGAUGGUGGUGGUGGUGGAGGUGACUUGUACUUGUAGGGGUGCUUGGGUGGUGACGGUGGUGGUGGUGGGGGGGACUUGUACUUGUAGGGAUGCUUUGGUGGGGAUGGUGGUGGUGGUGGUGGGGACUUGUACUUGUAGGGAUGCUUAGGUGGGGAUGGUGGUGGUGGUGGAGACUUGUAUUUGUAAGGAUGCUUUGGUGGUGAUGUUGGUGGAGGUGGUGGGGACUUGUACUUGUAAGGGUGCUUGGGUGGUGAUGGAGGUGGAGGUGGUGGAGACUUAUACUUGUAAACUGGAGGUGGUGGGGGUGGAGACUUGUACUUGUAGGGGUGCUUGGGUGAUGAUGGAGGUGGAGGUGGUGGAGACUUAUACUUGUAAACUGGAGGUGGUGGGGGUGGAGACUUGUACUUGUAAGGGUGCUUGGGUGGUGAUGGUGGGGGUGGGGACUUGUACUUGUAGGGGUGUUUAGGUGGUGAUGGUGGUGGUGGUGGUGGGGACUUGUACUUGUAAGGAUGCUUGGGUGGUGAUGGUGGUGGAGGUGGAGGAGACUUGUACUUGUAAGGAUGCUUGGGUGGUGAUGGUGGUGGAGGUGGUGGAGACUUAUACUUGUAAACAGGAGUUGGUGGGGGAGGAGAUUUGUACUUGUAAGGUUUCUUGUGUGGUGGUGGUGGAGGAGAGUAGACCGGAGGAG